UUAUUCAUUCAAUAACUACAUGUGGAUUAACUGAUCUGAUUAGUGUCGAUUGCCUAUAAUAGAUGUGUGGGUGAGGUUGGGGGAUUCAGGUAGAAAGAAUAGGGUGCAUCCCCCCCACCCAGGAUUUCUGGAAUCAGGGAGAAUAACAGAUGGCUGUGAUUUGGUGUGAGGGGCAGGGAUGCAGUGGGCCUGAUUGCAGCCUGGGAGCAGGUGGUCGGAGAUGUGAGGGCUGCGGGCAGUAGCGGUUGGUGGUCCACAGCAGUAGGCAGCGGGGGGAGGGGGUGGCGUCCAUGGCAAGAGGGACAUUAUGGACAUGGUACAGCAGUGGGAAACAGUGUGGUGUGUUCAGGGCUGCUGGAGCUUUCACUUGCAGUGCUGCAGAUCUUGGCAGGUGUGGUGGCGAUCCAUCCAGGCAGGGGAGGGAGAGGGAGCUGAGGAUUGUCAAAAGUCUCUGUGAGUUUGGAAAGGAGAGUGGGGGGCUCAGAGAAGGGUUGUGAGCACUUCCAACAGAGGUGAGAAAGCCCUAGACCGGGCAGUGGAAGGGGAGUGGAGGUGAAGGUUGUGUGGUAGAGAGGGUUUCCCGGCAGGCUGGGAGCUGCCUGGUGUGCUGGAAGGCGGGGCCUCCUUGCCUGGUGUUUGGUCAAUGCAAGAGCACAGGAGUGUGGCAAGAAGGCUGGCGGGGGGUGCAGAUGGCAGCAGGUGGAGGACGGAGAGAGCUCUCCCCACUGUUGGACAUCAACUGCCCCAAUUUUUGAUGUUUAGGUUAAGAUGAGUUGAGCAUUCUUAUGAAUGCCCAUUGGCCUGUAUUCCAGAUUAUUCUUGUAUCUGGCCAAGUAGGAAUGCAAUUUCAUGACGUAAGGCUAGAAGUGCUUGUAAGGGCUUGCAUAAUGCCUUGAAUAUGAUGUUGUCUACCAGGCUAAAAACCAAAUCGGCCAAAACAUUUUUGUUUGGGUGAUUUUCGGAAGAGGAAGUCCACGAAUGCAAUGCAGCUCUGGAGUCAUCUGUAGAUUGUAGCAAGCCCAUCGGUCUCUCUCUUCCUUCCAAAAAAAAAAAGGAUUAAUUUCGGCUCCAGCACAUGGUGACUUGCGCCGUGUUCGUUAUCUCCUGAUAGGUGUCUGACAGGAGAUGGGGUGUGGGCUGCGCCAGGGAGGAGCCGGGGGCCGCACCACCUACCUCCGCAGUCAUGACUAUUUUGUCUUCACGGCAAUGUCAUAGCGAUGCUGGUGAUGAGGAGGGAGGCUCCCGUUUCUUGAGGGCUUCUGUGUCCUGACAUGUUGGUGAUCACAUUAGGGCUUGACGCCCCUCCGGGAGGUGGUGGGAAUGACGUCGCAAUUGCACAUCAGGACACUGUGCCUCAGAGAGGUUGAGUCCCAGGGAGAAGGCCACACAGUGAGUGCCACAGGUACCAGUGCUACCUAACACAUGACUCUGCAGCUCAGUGAUGUGAUGACAACCAUUUUAUUCUGUCUCUUCUGCUCUAAUGGCCACCCAUGAGUCUUCCAAGCUGGCGUGUGUACUGAGCUGGAGGACCCGAGAUCGUCUCACUCACAUUUCCUGCUGGGUAGGGAGAGCUGGAAGGAGGGGCUCCCCUCUUCAGCAUGUAGUCUCAGGGCCACUGAACUCCUUCGAUGGCAGCUGGCUUUCUGGCAUCAAGUGUCCUUAGGUAACCAGGUGGAAGCUGCUUGGCCCUUCCUGACCCGACCCCUCAGAUAUCUCAGCAUCGAUUGUGUCACCUUCAUUUAGUUCAAGUGAGUCACAGGCUGGCCCAGGCUGAAAGGCAGCUGGACUCAACCUUUGCAUGCAGGUGGGGCCAGUUACAUGGUAGAAGAGCAGAUAGGGUAAGAGACAGUGCCCUGGCCCUCCCUGGGAAACACGGGGCACCGCAAAUGGCCUGGGCAGAGCCAAGACCCCCACUGGGAUCUGUCUGACCUUGGAGCCGCUGUCCCGCUCCUGAGCAACACGCUCUUUUCCUCCUGAACGUCACAGGAAGCACGGGUCCCUGUCUCUGUGCCAUUUCCCUGUUCAAAAAUAGCAAAAGCAUCCCAUACUUUUGCUCAUUUAAACAUAUUUCUUUAGGGGUAGACUAGCUGUGAGGCAGACCUGUGGCCCUGGGUGUGCACCGGAUGGAAAUGAUUCCUGCAAUCAGGGCCGGGUGGGGAAGCAGCAUUCUUAGCAGCCUGCCACUGCCGCUCUGGUACGGGGUCACAGGAGGCUUGCAGUGCCCACAUCAGCCAACGUGGCCCUUGGUGGGGCUGCGCUUGCCCUCUUGCCAGGGCCUCUGCGGUAGGGAGGACUGCCGAGCGGAAACAGGUGAGCUGGGCUGAGUUUUCUGCUUGGCUAAUUCGGUGUGGCUUGACUCCAAGAAGGACACACUGACCUCCCCAUCAUCUUGUUUGUUCAGCCUUGCAGAAGCAGUUUUAUAGGAAACCAUUACAGCCUGGUGGUCUGGGCCCAGACCCGGUACACACCACGUGCCCGCACUAGGGAUGGGGACCAUUCUCGGUGAAUAUGAAGGAAUGGCAGGAAGCCGCCCUCCUGUUCAGUGAGAGCUCGCUGUGUGUCUGGCCCUGGGGUGGAGUGGGGUGGGGUGGGCAGUUUCUAGACUUUGCUCAUGGGUUAGACCUACUGGAGGACUCUGCCAGCUGAGGAGGCAGAGCUGGGGUGGCUGGGGCUGGGGGAUGCCAUGGGCACUUCAUGCUGCUUCUGGUGCCGCUCCUUCCUCUUUCAGGUUCCAUCUCCCACACUCUGUCCCUGCUGCCUUUACAUCUUCAGGGUGGAGAGGGACUCUGGCCACCCUGGGGCCAGCCAUCCUGUGUCACUGUUGGUGUGUAUGUGACCUGAGGUGGCCCCUCCAUCAACCCUGUAUCUCCGGCGCUAAGCCAGAGACAAGAAUAUCCUCUGGGGGGUGUCCCUGCAAGGGUGGAUGGAGAUGAGGCAUUAGGUGUGUCUGAUGCUUGGGAACGGCCCCACACCUGCGCAUCUUUGUGACAGUCAGUGGGACUGUGGGUGGAGGGAGCCACACACAUCUGUCCUGGCUCUCAGCAUCCCAGGGAAAGACGUUCUGCUCCACCCCAAUCAGCUUUGCCCUUUAACCAACCAGGGGCAUCCUGCAGUGUGGCCAUGUGGAGGUGGAGCUGGAGCCAGGCAUGGUGGCAGCCCUUCUAGACUGUGGGCAGCAGGCAAGCCUGCAGGACGGGUGUGUGUGGCUCUGUGUUCCCAGGAGGGGCCUGUACUUGUUGAGCUGGGCCAGAGCGGUGAAUGUACCUCCAGAAGAUCACAGAGCUGAGGUUUUCUGUGGGACAGAGCUGGUCCCCAUAUUCCUGUGGCCUUUGGGCUAAGAACUCAGUCAUCUACUUUACUUCCAGGCUUGGGAACACUUGGGGUAGGCUGGAAGUCCUCUGGUCUCACCCUGUGAGCUCCAUGUAUGCCUUGUUGAUAGCACCAGCGUGGCAGGUGACCCUCUCAUCAAAACUCCAAAUAUAGGCAUGGCCACACAGGGACAGGGGGACAGCAUGUGAUAAUUUGGGACAGCAGCUGAAAGCCUAAGGGUUAGGGCUGCUGUAUCCUUCUGAGGUGGUGCAGGGUGCAGGGCCCUCUGGGCCUCAGUUUCCUCUGCUGUGAAAUGAGGACUCUAUCUUGGCUCUGCAAAUGCCAGUGUCUUCUCUGGAAGAAAAGGCGCCUGUUGAGGGAAGUAGUACGCAGGUGUGAGGGGCCAGGCCCCAGACAGGAUCCCAGGAAGACCUAGGGCAGCGAGCCACGAGCGAAGAGAGGGGCCGAGGGUGAAAUGGGGUGGGCCCCAGAAGCUGGGAAGUGGGGAAAAUCCUGCUGUGUCCUGGGGGUUAGGCUCCACUGCCAGUGUUCACAGGAUCUGGAGCUGAUGGGGACACCUGCAGUGUCACCCUGAAGGGACAGAUGGCCCCCAGGCCAGCAGGGGGUGGCAGUGUCCAUUUGGCAGAAACAUUUGACAAGCAGAAGGCAGCUGGUCCUUCCUGCUCCCUGUCCAGGCUCUUGGGGCUGGGACCCCACUCCCAAUCCUGUCCUCCCAACCUCCCCACACAUGCAUAGGCCACUCCUGGGCAGAGGAGGGGUGCUGUGAUUUGUGGGCUUGGGAGAAGUUGGAAGCAUAAGGGUCAAGCCUACAGCUGGGUCUACACUGCCUGUGCCAGGCGGAGCAGGUGAGGGUGUCCCUGGCUCUGGGGCGGUGGCGCUGUUCACACUCCCUGUAGCCUGUACCAGGCCCUUCUCAGGGGCGAGGGUCCCAUGGAGCCCUCCACCUGCCAGGCUCUGCAGAUCCAACUCUUUUCUCUCCAGGGGUUUCAAACUUAGACAGGAAGUGGGAGUCAUUUAUUGGGCCCCAGACAACCUCACCAGGUCCCUCAGAGCCCUGAGGCCAGGAGGAGGAGGGUGGAGAUGGGGAGCGUUUCCUUUGUCCUCUCUCCCUGGCCAUCCCCAAACCUGGGGUGAGAUGGGGAGUCAUUAUGCUUUGUCUUUGUAAACAAGCAGCUAUAAAAACCUAUCAGCGUGCAGCACCUUCUCCAUAAAACAGGCUGGAUGGAUUUAUAACCCAGGCCCCCUCCUCAAGAGAAGCCGGCAAAGCAGGCCUCACCGGCGCUGGCUGCCAUCACCCUCCCUGCCCCCGCCCAACCUCAUGAAAGAAACAGAAGGGAAAGCACAUUGAGUUGUAAUAUGUUUUCAGUGGAAUUUGUCACAAUAAGCAAUGGGUUUUGUUGGGGCUCAUGGGAUGUUGAGGAAAGAGCCACAGAGUGGUGUAGGCUGAGGGCUGUGCCGAGAAGCCUGGGCUGCAGGAGGGCCGGGGCUGGAGUGUUGGCAGGGGCAGCACAGAGGCUCAUCUGGACAGUCCACAGCUGAUCCAGCCUACACUAUGCGUUGGAUGCUUUGCUGGGAGUGGGGGAUGUGGCUGUGAGUAUGAUUGACAAGGUCUGUGUCCUGAGAAGCCCCCAGAGCAGAUGAGAUGGACAUGUGGCCAGUGAUGGGACCAUGUUGAGUGGAAGAGACAAUGGGCUGAGCUGCCCAGAGCAUUACAUGACCAGCCUGGGUGGUGGCAGGUUCAGGAGGGCUUCCUGGAAGAAGUGAAUUCAUUCAGCACACGUUCAUCAGAGCCAGUGAUGUUUAGGCACUGAGAGUGCUAUCAAGGCUAUGGGAGGGAAUGGAGAGUUCCUGAGUCACUCCAGACUCUGGGGUUGAAGUGUCUGCUGAUGGAGGCGUGGGAGGGGCACAGCAGGGUCCCAGGUGAGCAAGGAGCUGUGCAUGCUGGCAGGUGGCAGGGCCAGGUGAGGGUGUCUCCACCUGUCUCCAGACCCCACCCCCACCCAGGUAUGGAAUUGCUAUCUCCAACUGGCAGAGAAGGAGACCGAGGUGAGGGUUUCACAUGUCAGGAACAGGUAGGUCGAGAUUUGAACCCAGACCUGCAGACACCAAAUCUAGCCCUCGCUCCGGUCUGCACUGACCUCCAUGCACCUCCGGGGCUCCACGCUCCGGUCUGCCCUGACCUCCAUGCACCUCUGGGGCUCCAGGCAGCUGCUUGGGUCGCUGCUGUGUCUGGGGUCUCUCCUGGCAUUCCUUAGGCCCCGCACCCAUCAACUUCCUUCAUUGUUCACUCGCAUGCCUUGAUGGUUGGGGCUGGCAUGCCCCGAGCUGACCCACGCAUGCGGCUCACCUUCAUUUUCCUUCUAGUGCUCGGUGAGCUUGAGAGUGAGGCUGAACUGUUGCUUGAUUUUUCUGUGACCCAGAUGAAGAACUGGGUAACCAUUUGCUCAAUAAAGUGAGAGACCCUGUGUUCCAGUUCAAAUGGGGGCACUGAGGACCAGUGAAGGGAAGCCAGUGCUUGUAUUUGUCAGCCUGGAGAGUUGGCAGAUACCAGCCAGCACACCUGUCUUUGCCUCGACCACCACCUGAAGUUGGUGCCCAGCCCCCCACUCCACCCAUAGAUGAGAGAAUUGAAGCCCAGAGAGGCCAGACUUCUUGCCCAGGAUUGCACAGCCAGCAGGGAUGCCGGAAUUGGGAUUCGGCCCCAGCCUUGUCUGACUCCAAGGCCAGUGCUAUUUCUACCAUGCCCAGUGUCUCCCAGAGCUAAUUUUGCGGCUGGAACUCCAACCCGCAAAGCUAUCUAGGGCAGGCAACUCGAUGAAAGAGAAUUAGGAGGGAAUCCUAGAAAAAUGGGGCUCGGCAGCUCCCGGGGAAGCCUGGAGAAGCCUCUGCCGGCAGCUGGGGGUGGGGCUCUUUUUAGUCCUCUCUGGCGAGGCGUUCUGAAGCCUCCUCUGGGAGCUCCGUGCCUCCGUCCAGGACUGGCUGUUUCUCUGGAAAUCAUUCCCAGCAGUAUUUGGCUUCUGGUGAAAGGAGAGAAGAUUCUGGUCACUCAGAGCAGGCCCUUGUGGGGGACAGAACCCAUUUUCCGGAGCUCUUGGGGCAGGGACCAGGGUGGCAGGCAGGGGCCCAUGGGCCGCCUGGGGGACCUUGUGCUCAGGGACUUAGAGAUUUGUUUUCCUACUGAAUAUAUUGCUUUCUCUUGUCUGCUUUGUGCAAUGACAUGUGGAUGUGGGGUGAGGAUGGCUGGCAGGACACCAGAGUCCCUCCCCACAGGGGCUGGGCGGGGUGGGGGGCCCACAGUCUCACGCCAGCAUGGCUCUGUGCUUGCACUCCUCUCCAGGACAUAUUUAGUGGAAAUGAACUCAUUUUAUGAUUCAAAAUUAAAGCCAUGUAUUCAUAGGGUAAACACGAUUAGAGCGGGCAGAGGUGCACUGUGAACGUGCAGUUCUUUCUGAAUGGGCACUUGGAGACGUGCCUGUUCUCUGUAGCUGCUACGGGGGUCUCCUGUUGCUGGGAUGGAGCACAGUUGAUUCAUCCAGUUGCCUGUUGACAGACAUCAGGUGGUAUCCAGUGUUGCUUUGUUUCCCUGUUUUGCAUGGUGCUGUGAAUUCAUGGUUGUGCCAGUGUGUCUGGGCCUUGGAGAGUCAGAGGGCAGGGCCCUCUAUGUGGAAUUGGUGUGGUUGGGUGUGUGGCUGUGUGUUUUUAGCCCUUACAGAGCUACUCCUUCUAACAUGUUCUGGAGGCCUCCUCUGUGCCUGGGGGCUAUGCAGUCACUGAACUGUCACCCAGGGCUUGCCAGAACCUGGCCUGGCCUGAAGGAACGCGGCUCUGGGGCAUGGAGGUUGGCUGGUUGGGUACCAAGUCCACAUCAGCAGGGGCACUGCCUCCACUUGCAGAGGCCAGCCCCUGCCCGGAGUUCAGCAGGACCUCUGUGAACCUUUGUGCUGGUGGCUCAUCGUACCAUGUCCCCUUGGGGUGACGGCCAUUGGCUUGUGGUUCCUUUGCUCAUUCAGGGGAGGAGGACAGCCAGGCACAGUGAAAGGGACAUGGGGUGGCCAUUCUAGUCCUUAACCCAGGGAGUGUCCCUGGGCUUCUGCGGCCCCACCUCCCUGGGCAGUCAGGAAGGUUAGGAGGGCAGGGCCUGGCCCUGGGGACUCCAGCGUGUGGCGGUGGGAGAGAGGAAUGGGCUCUGAAAUGGAGGGAGAGAAGGGCCAUCCAGAUGCUGGUGGCCUCCUCACCCCUUGGGCAGUGAUGCAGGGUGGUAGUCUUGACGGGCUGAUCUCAAGGGUCCUCCUGGGAGCCACACUUGGAGCUCUGUGGGGUGGGGCCAGUCCCAGUGGGGCAGGAAGGUCCCAGAGCAGCUCGUUAAGUGGGCCGAGGACAAGUGUCAGGAGACCUGCGCCCGGAUCCUCCUCCACCACCCCUCUCUGUGUGACUUCUCGGUACCCUAGUGUACCCAUCAGUAAACUAGGGAUGAAGCUGUUCUUAAAUCCUGCAGCGGUGGUGAGAGCCGCCCAAGAAAACGGAUGGAAAGGGCUUUGACCGAGUCUGGCACAGAGAACGCACCCAAUAAAUGACUGCCGUGACAAUCGUUCUUCUCGCGCUGGGUGGCCUUUGGAAGCCCCUCUGUGUGGGGUGCUCUCAUUUCUCAGCUGUGUAUCCCGCCCCUCGUCGUGGUGCGGCUCCCACGGGUGUGCACAGCAGUCUCUGCUCCUGUGUUUCCUGAAAAGGGGCCCAGAGAAUAUCUGCAGCUUCAAUAACUGAGUGAAUCCCAGAAACUUCCCAUCACAUUUGGGGUGAUUAGGCAAACACAUACAAUUCUGGCUGUGGGAAGGGAGCUGGCAGACCCGGUGCGAUGUGUUUCCCGCGGGGAUGUGCUCGUGUUGCUGUCAUUCUGGCCGUAGCUGAGGCACAGGAGAAAAUGGAGACUCCGAGAAGUUCAGGGGCUUGUCCAGGUCACGCUGUUCCGACGAGGUAGACCCUGGAUCUGACCCCAGGCUGUCCCUGCCAAGCUUGGAGCCUCUUUCUCAAAGGGAGACAGAUGGAUGUUGUUACAGAUGGGAUUGCCAAUUUCCUUCUUUGUAUUAAAUUGCCAAGGAAAUGGUCUCUUGCACCCCCAAAAGCAGGGGAAGGAGGAGAAUAAAGGUCAGGUGGCCAUCUCCGCCGGUGUGUGAGUGGGGUGGGGUUGGGGAGCUAGGAGGCUGGGCGCUGGACCCCUGAAAUUUCCAAAUCCCCACAACAUCCUGGGUGUCAGUGAGCCCCUGCCUUCCUCCCUGGAAUUUAUCUGGAGCUCUUCCUCCGCAGGGAAGAACAACAGCCCGUGAUGGGGUUAUUUCAAGGGGAUUCCCAUGGAAACGGGAGAGUGGGAGGUUCCUCCCAGCACUUGUAUAAUAGAAGUUGGCUGAGGUGGCGUGUCCCCGCAGAAGGGUGCUCAGGACCUUCUCUACACUACAGGCAUCCUCAGAGUGGGAGGCACUGGCCCCAGAGGGGCUGGCUCCCCAUUCACGCUCCUACCCUCUCUACCCAGCUCAAGACCCCAGCACUCCUGGGUGUGAGUGAGAGCAGGCCAGCUCCCCAGGAACCCCCAGGCCUGGGCCUUCCCAUGGUCUCUUUUCUCCAUCGAGUGUUGGGCUGCCGCCAGCCACAGCUUCCUGGCAGGACCUCCUGGCAGGACCUCUGUACUUUGAGCCGCUGUUCCUCUGCCAAGACCUGGCCCCCCGCCGCGGCCUGAAUCAGCCCAGCACCCCUUUGCCUCUGUUGCAGUGCUCACAUUUAUCCCUGCACUCCUCCAUCAGCAGGGAUUUUUUACAAGCAGAACCUUUGUUUGAUAAAAGAAUUCUGCCUUGAGCGGCCAGAACCUCUCUGAGCCUCACAUUUCUCAUCUGCUUAAUGGGAACAGCGGUGCCUGCCAUGCCUUGCUGGUGAUGAUUCCAUCAGGCAGGGAGACCGUGGGCCGUCGGCAGGGAGUCUGAGCAGGUGUCACCAGUAUUUCCAAUCAGCUGACGGCUGAUGGACUUGUCUCGGAGGCAGAGAACUUGGAGACCUGCAGACGUGCCCUGUGACAAGAUUCCUGUUUCUAUAAACCCUGCCUGGGCCUGGUACUUUUCAGUGUGUACCCAGCUCUCCUGUGUGAAGUCUUACCUGAUUUUUAUGCCACCUUGAGGACAGUGAUGUUCAUCUCCAUUGUACAGAUGAGGAAACUGAGGCUCAGGGAGGCAACAUGAUCUUUGCAAGGAUCCAUCUCUUUCCCCCAGGGCCUGGCUGCCCCUCUUGACCAUACAGGUGGGGUUAAAACUACACAGGAGGAAAAAUGAGCCUCGAUGGGGGUGGGAAGCUGGGGCAGGAAAACGUCCGCUGCUCUCCCAAGUGGAACUGUGCUAGCUGUCUGUAGGUGUGUCAGUGUGGGGGAGGGGAGGGAAGCCCAGUCCUUUGAAAAGUAGGGGGCGGUUUGAUGAUGCUGCAGGGGCAGCUCUGAGUUCUGGAGUCUCAGAACUUGGUUCUAGGCGGUUCUGGUGGAUCACGUGCUGUUCUGAGCACUUUGCUAUCCAACGUGACCCUAAGGAUAAGUGCCAUUGUUACUGGCUUUUUACAGAUGAGGAAACUGAGGCACAGAGGCAUGCAGCCCACACCUGUAAGCACCAGGAAGCCUUGGCUUUUAGGGUCCCUGGAGGGCAUGCAGGGCAGUCGCCUGAGCUGGGAAGCCUUGGGCUUGCCUCCAGGCCAUGUGGCCACUGUGGGACAGGAGUCCUCCUGCGUUGGGUACUGGGACACUUCGGGCAGAGGGCUGAGGACCCCAGUCCUCCCAUAGAACAUCAGGUUGGAGUGAGACGUUUAGAGCCAGGUCUCUGUGUCUAGAAAGCACCUCUUGGGUCACUUGCAUUAGUGAAAAUUAUACAUUUGAAACUCCAUUUAUUUAUUUAUUUAGAGACAGGGUCUCUCUUUGUCACCCAGGCUAGAGUGCUGGGGUGCCACCAUAGCUCACUGCAGCCUCAAACUCCUAGACUCAAGUGAUCCCCCUGCUGGGGUCUCCCCAAGUGCUGGGAUUACAGGCAUGGGGCACAGCGCGUGGCUAAUACUCCCUUUUCAUGAAAAGAAACAGCUUUAACUCUGAAAUCUCAUCUGUGCCUUGGCGUGAGAUGAGAGCAGUCACCGUCACUUGCUUUUUGAAUAUUUGAUUAACAGGUAGAGAGCCUGAAAUCCAUUUGACAUCUGAUCCUUUUGUAAGCUUGGUUACAUUCUCUUAAAUUUGUUCCAGUUGGAUUAAUUAAAUGCAUGGUUGCUUAUACAUGUGUGUGCAAAUGAUUCUGGCAGGUCGUGUUUUAGCUGGAUAGUGAACAUAAGCGUCUAGAAUGUUCUUAGCUGUUGCAGGGAUUACCAGGAAUCACCUUGAAAAGCUUUGGGAGGGGAUUUUGUUACUGUUGUUGUUGUUAUUUUGCUUUUUUUGAGACAGGGUCUCACUCUGUCACCCAGGCUGGAGUGUAGUGGUCUGAUCUUAGCUCACCGUAACCUCUGCCUCCCAGGCUCAAGCGGUCCUCUUGCCUCAGCUCCCUGAGGAGCUGGGACUACAGGCGUGUGCCACCACACCCGGCUAAUUUUUGUAUUUUUCGUAGAGAUGGGGCCUCACCAUGUGGCCCAGACUGAUCUGGAGCCCCUAGGCUGAAGAGAUCCACCUGUGUUGGCCUCCCAAAGUGCUGAGAUUACAGGCGUGAGCCACUGUGCCCAGCCUGGAGAGAUUUUUGGAUGCGCUGGGCCACAGAUGUGAAGGUGAAUACAUGGAAAUGAUCCCUGCUGCCUGCCUGUGUGUCCAGUGGAUGUGUCCCUAAUCUCUCCAGAUGGUUUUACUGUGUCAAAGUGAGAAAUGCUGAGAGCAGAGCCAUCUGCCUGGCCAGACAUCGCUUGGAAGCGUGGAGACGUUUUGCCUUUUUGUCCCACGAUUCUCCCUUCAUGUGCAGCUUCAUUGGCUUAAAAGAAAUUAAGAAACUGGGCCCCCACUUAGGACCCCCUGAAGUGCAGAGUCACUGUCUUUGAAGUGGUGGGGUAGGGGGAAAACAGGAGAUCAGGGGUCUGAUAAUUUCUAGAAACCCCAGCUGAUUUACAGCUGGGCUGCGUGAGGUCCUCUGAGGAGGCAGAGUGUAUAUGGAAUUUCCAGUAGUCCUCAUUUCCCCUCUUAGAAUCCAGGGGAUCUGGGGCCUCAGCCUUCCUAUCUGUAAGAUGGGACAAGUAACAACUAGGCUUUGGGCUUGUCAGGAAGACUGAAUAUGAAAAUGGAGAUGAAAACUGGUCGCAGUGCCUGGCCCCUCUGUCUCCACCAGCCUACCCGUUGGUCCAGCCCUCCCUGAUCUCGGAGGGAGCAGACGUCCCAUAAUGGGUGUCAGCGCACCCUGGUUCUAUUUAUCCAUCUGAUUUCCAUCCUCUAGCCAUGUUAGACACAUGGGGCUUGCCUGUCCCAUUGAUUCUGGUCAACUCUUUGGUUCUGGGCCAUAGUGUUUCUAACCUGUCCACUCUCUUCUCAUCAGGCGUUUGGACCUGGUUGGGUUCCCAAGCCCUGUCACAGGCAGGGGGCUGUAGGAGGCUGCCCACGUGCCAGGGUUGUUUGGACCUGGUUGGGUUCCCAAGCUCUCUCAUAGACGGGGCCUGCAGGAGGCUACCCACGGGCCAGCGCUGGGCUGCUGGGCUGCUGCUGUGAGCACUUGCCUUGUCGCUGCUUGUGAGAGGCUGUGUGGGCCGAGACAGCCAGAUAAGAUGCGCCCGGGAGCCAUCUGUUUGCAGCCCUUGGACCAGAUGGUCUGCAAGGACUCCUCGGGGGGGCCAUGGGGUGGGGAGGUAAUACAUUUGCUGAGCACCCAGCAUCUUCCAGAGCCUCAUUGCAGCCCUACCAGCUGGGCAUUGCCAUCCAGGUUUAUAGGGACCAGGAACAUGAGGCCCAGAGUGACUGAGUUACUGGUGACAGUCACCCAGCCAGAAAGUGGCAGAGGUGGGGUUUGAACCCAGGGCUUCCUGAGUCCUGGGCUUAUGUUCUCUGCAUCAGGCUGCUGAGGUUCCAGCUGAAUGCUGUGGCAGAGUGACUUCUGAGAAGUACUGCAGAGGGUCGGACUCACGCAGGGGUGGUCUGGCUUCUCUGCCUGGUGCCUUGGGACAGAGAAGGGACACCCAGCUCCCUCUGCAGCCCUGGGGCUUUACCCAGCGUCUGCAUGGUGUCCUGCAGCACCCUGCCUCUGGAGCGCACCCUGUGUGUCUCACAAAUUAUGCUUUGCCUGUAAACCCUUUCUAAUGAAAUUGGUGGAAGAUGGAAAAGCCAAAUUCAGUUUUCAGAGAUGACACUAAUCCUAUUAAGGUUGAUGGGGCCAGAGUGUGUAUGGAAUUAGUCUUGCCAGGUGGCAACCGGGCACCUGCUGGGAAGGCUGAAGGGGAUCCUAACAAGAGUGGCACCGAAGAGACAGGGAAGAAGCUUCGGCCUCUUAUCUCCCCGCAGUUUAAAUAACGGAGGCCGCUGUUGAGCUUUGUUCUCCAGCGUUCUUGGGGUGGAAAACAGGGCUUCACACCAAAUGGAAAUGGGAGGCAGUGGUGGUCACCAAGCAGGGAGGUGGUGAAGUAGCCAUUUAGGCCGGAAAGUCAUGCAUGAUUUCUAAGCUUCAGUCUCCUUAACUGUGAUCAGGGGACUGGGUGCCUCCCUCGGGCAACUUCUGGGACCCGGCACUCAACGCACGGAGCAUCUGACUGCUGUGCAGCCGCUAGCUUCUCGGUGCUGGGGCAGUGGUGUGAGUGUGGACUCUGGAGUCAGAAUUCCUGCCUUCACAGCCCCACUCCUCACCUUGCUAGCUGCGUGGCCUGGGCUUGUCUCUGAGCCACGUGGCCACUGUGGGACAGGAGUCCUCCUGUGUUAGGCUCUGGGACGCUGUGGGCAGAGGGCUGAGGACCCCAGCUCUCCCUUAGAAUAUCAGGUCGGUGUGAGACAUUUAGAGCCAGGCCUUCGUGCUUAGGAAGCACCUCUUGGGUCACUUGCAUUAGUGAAAAUUAUACAUUCGAAACUCCAUUUAUUCAUGUAUUUAUUUAGAGACAGGUCUCUCCUUGUCACCCAGGCUAGAGUGCAGUGGUGCCACCAUAGUUUGCUGCAGCCUCAAACUCCUAGAUCAAGUGGACCCCUGCUGGGGCCUCCCAAAGUGCUGGGUUCCAGUGAGUUGUGUCACCUCUCCAUGCCUCAGUUCCUCCAUCUCCGAAAAGGGGAGAGUGAGACUGUACCCCAACCCCGGGUAGUUGGGGCUAAAGUGAGUUAGUUCAUAUAUAGCGCAGGUUGAGUGCCUGGUGUGCAGGGAGUGCUCGGUCUGUUGGUUCCUGUGAUGGUCCCCAUAAUCAUCACUGGUGUCGCCUUGUCCCCUCUCCCAGCCCUUAGGGCCAGGCUGUUUGUGGUAGGCACUGGGGUCUGAAAUGGCCUGGACUGAAUGGUCAGUCGAAUGACCACCACAGUCACAGCUUGGUGGUCCCAGGGGCUGAAGCAGGUGGCCAAGGGCAGUUUCCUUUCUCUGUGUGGGUCCAUUAGCUCCAAGUAUGUUGUUCCUGAGCCCAGACCUUUGCCUGCUUGCCCACCUCCUGCCGAGAGUGGGCAGAGCCAACACCCCUCUCUGGGUAGAAUCAGCCCAUGGCUGGGAGGGGAGCCAGGCCUGCUGCUGGGGGCACAGACAGUGGGGAGGUGCAGGCCAGGCACUGGAAACCUGGCCUGUGUGCAGACAGCGCAUUAGACAGUCUGUGGCCUCCCCAUAACUCAGGCCACAGAGUCCUCAUCUUGGGUACAACCAAGCGACUGGCCGUUUCCAGAUCAAAGAGCAGAGUGGAUUCCAGAGUGAGAUGGUCCUCUUGGCUGGCUGCCUUCUCCCGCCCACGGACACUGUUUGGCUCUGACGGGGCUGUGUCCUAGGCCUGACCCAGGUGGUCAGGAGCCUUCCACUCUGUGGUGGGAUGUGCUGCAGGAGUAGGGUGGAGGAGGAAGGGAAUGGCCAGUGGUGGACAGUUGCCAUGCCCCAGGUAUUUAAUCUUGACUGCAGUGCUAGGGGGUCAUACCCCGUGCUACAAAUGAAGAACUGAGACUUGGGGGUCACUGCUUGCCCACAGACCCACAGUGAAGCAUGGGGCCAUUGUGUUGUAUGGGUGUGGCUGGGCCUCACCCCCCCUUUCUACAGUACCACCCCUUUAUUCCUUAUCAAGUUCACCUCCAAGGCCCUUUGGCUCCUCACUGGGGCAGCCAUAAGGGGAGCAGAGGCCUGCGGUCUGUGCAUGGGUGAGGGCAGAGUGCUGGCUGGGUCCUGCAGGUGACAUGUACAGAGCAGAAGGUGAUGCUGGAGCUGUCUACCAGGGAAGGGCUGUCCAGGAAGAGGUCACAGGCUGGACAGAGGCGAGGUGGAGAGAGAGUGCGUGUGUGUGGGGACCACAGGCAGUUCAGGAGGGCAGGACUGUGACAUGCAGGCUGGGAACCAGGGAGGCUGCAGGUCAUGGAGUCCCCGUGGGGCUCAUGGGGUGGGCUGAGGAGUGUGGCUCCUCCCCUGCUGCUGGAGGUGCCAGGAAGGAUUUAAAUCGUGGAGUGAGGGACCAGAGUUGGACUUGGAAGUGUUACUGUGGUGUCGGUUUGGAGGGGCUUGACAGGGGGAGAUUAGAGGGAGGGGCUGUAGUGAUGUUGUUGAGAUUACCUGAUCCCUUUAUUGCUUUCAUGCAUGAGGGCCCCAAGGGCUUUCUCUCCAGAGCUUGCAUGGGGGUUCCCUGUUGGUGGCUUCCCUCAGGCUGCUGGAACUCUUUGCCUGUGCACCUGGAGAGCUGGAGGUUCCUGGAAUCUCAUGUCCUCUGCCAGGGGCAGCCCUCACUGAGACAAUGACAGGUACAGGGGUCUAAAUACCCCAGCUCCCUCCCUCCUGAUUGGUACAUUUUGGAAUGGGACCUACACUGUCCCCAGAGCUCCCACGGGCCUGAGCCCUCCUUGAGAGUUUUCCUGUUAUCAUACCCCCCUUGGCCUCCUUCAUGUCCUGGCCCCACUUCCCUACACCCUUCCUGGCUUUCCCAGCAACACUUCCUAAUCACUUCCAGGCAAAUCUUGGCCUCAGGGUCUGCUUCUGAAGAACCCAGGCUGAUAGAAGGCAGCAAAGGUGCUGAGGCACUAGGAUAAACACGGUGAGACCCAGACCCUGACGGCCUCAGUCAACUAUACCGGGAGGCUCUGAAACGUGCCAGUCAGGGAGGGAGGUGCUGAGGCCCCAGCAAACCGGAGGCCAUAGUCAGAACCAUGGACAGCGCCAAGGCUGCCAGGGUUCAUCAUCUUGGGUCUCCCAAUUGACUGGGCUCAGAGAUCAGCCUGCUGGGGUUUACAGAGCCAGGCACCUUAUCUAUCAGUGUGCCCACUACUGAAAGCCUCUGGUGAGUGCCAUGGUGCCCGAGGGAGCUUGGGCCUCCCUUAGGGAGUUGCUAAGACUCCUCCACACCUGCCCUGCAAAUUGUUGGUCCCAGGGGACUCUGAGUUUCCCUGUUCCUGGUUUUCCUGCUCAUGGGAUUGGGGGUCUGGCCUUAGCUUGCUGGGACAGAGAACUGAUCAUUCAGAUACAAAACUCUUUUCUGAGAACUCAGACAGAAAAUGAACUCAUGCAACACGUACUCACCUGUCCAUGUGCCCACCCAUCCACCAUGUAUAUCUCAGUUGAUUUUUGACCCCAUGCCAGGCCUUGGGCACCUAGAGAUGGCUUGGUCCUUAUGGUCAUACCCAUGUGGAGGGAGACAGAGAUGGACAGAAAGACAACCAUAAUGUCAUUUUGACAAGUUCUGGGAAAAGGUGGGCCACCCUGGCUGUGAGACCUGUAUGUGGUAAUGGAGAGAUGGGGAACUGUGGAGGUGUCAGGGAAGCUCCCCCUGGAGCUGUUCCUUGAGUUUGUUCUAAGAGAUUAGCAAGAGUUUUCUAUGCAGUGAAGUGAAGAUGCAGGGCAGGCGGCUAAAGGUCCUGAAAAAUAGCAGUGUUGCGUGGGGCAGCAAGUAGCAUGGGGUAGGCUAAGCUCCAGCUGGUCGAGUUGGGGCCGGAAGUGUGGACUUGGUUGGUAAGGACUCCUGAGAGUGCCACAUCCAGGCACUUGGGCUUGAUGCUGAAAAUACAGUCAUUCAACAGAGGUACGUAAGUCUGAGUGUGUUGUAGUUAGAUCUUCAGUUUAGGAAGCUCUCUCCGCUCAUGAUGGGGAGAGUGGGUGAGAUGGGGUUGGGUUGGAGAUAGAAGAGCAGAGGACAAGUGCAGACUUUCUAGGAGAUGAAGUGGGAGGGGCUGGUCCCAGGGCCGGGCUGUGAGUGGUUGUGACCAGAGCCAUCCAUCAGCCCAGAUCAUGUCUCCCUAAUUUAGAAGAAAAUGAGAGGAGAGAGCCUUUUCAUCUCUGCCUCUUCUGGGAUGGAAAUGAUCUAUUUUGAAUCACACUAAAGUUAGAUUUCUAAUUUUCCUUUUAAUCCAUGUCUCAUUUAGAGCAUUAGAAACGGAAAAAGCAUCCCCGUAUGAAUGUAGUGUCAUAAAUCAGUGCACGUCACAAACUGCAGAAGGAGUCAUUUCUACAAGAGUAUGCAGCCUUGCAUUUAUAAUAAAUCUAAUUCUUUAUCUUUUUGGGCUCCAGACUAGAGUAAUUAGUCAUUUCUGCUGAUACUGGCACACCAUUGUGUAUGCAGUGUUAAUGGAGAGCACAUGUAUUUGGACCACUUUCGCAAUUGCUUGUGAGCAUUGCUUUGUGUCUCUUCUACCUGAUUCUAGAGGAGAAACAUCCUAUUUAUUUCAUUCUUGCCUCUUGUAGAAAUAGGUAAUGAUAGUGGUAAUAAUAGUAACAGAUAACACUGACUGGGUUACUUCCACAUCUCUAGCACUGUUCAGAGAUUCAAUAAGAAAGGAUCCUUUGUCCAAAUGGAAGAUGCCGUGUGUGUGCUGAGGUCCUUGAUAGAUCCGAUCAUGUUCUGUCUUCUGUUCUGUGCCUGCACUGUGUCAGGGACCACCUAGAUACCACUCAUAGAUUAUUCACCUAGUAGGUGGCCCUAUUUAAAAGCUGGCCCUCUACCAUAAAUGGAAAACCAGGAAAUCAGGUCAAAAAUAGAAGUAACCAAAGACAAGGGCAGGUGUUUCUACUCUAAUAAAAUAGAGACAUCCUGAGAAACUCUCAUUCUGCAAAAUCCUACAUGAAUGACAUCAAAGGUGUUGGACAGAAUGGGGUUGGGACAGGUGACUGGAAACCUCUGUAAUGCGUCACCAGACACCAACAAAAAUAUUAAGUUUUAGAAAAAUUGGGCACAACUAAAGAAAAAAAUAUUAAUUCCUGUUAAAGAACAUUCCAACCACUAUACGAUCUUACCUUGAAGGAAAAAGUGAAGGUCAUUUAAUGGAAGGGGCUGAAAGGAAGGGAGCUGAACUGUGGCUGGAGACAUGGCCCAGGUACAGAGGGAGACCCGCCCACCAACUGCUCCAAACUGAGCUGAGAGGUAGGAGUGCAGGGAAUGAGCCUGUUCUCCUGGGCCACAUUCCUUUGAGGCUUGAUGUUCAGCCAUUAGUGUAUUUCGUGUUCCGUUGCUUCCUCUAGCUGGCACAAAACGUUAACACACUGAGGAAGGCUGUGUUUGAACCAACCCAACUUUUACAUUUUAUUGACAUCAUUCCUUGUUUACAAAGUGUGUGAGACCCACUUUGCAAAAGCGACGGUUGUAGUGACUGUACAGUGGUGAGUAGGAUUGUUAAAAGCAGGCUAGAUACUGUGACUCAGGACUAUUAUUCCAGUUGCCUGAUACGAAAUAGGACAUGAAGGAGGAGUUUUCAUGAGAACUCUGGCAAAGAUCCAUGAAACCACUCUUCUUUGCCCUACAGAAAACCUGGUAAAACUGAAAGUAAGCCAGUAGCCUCACGGGUUUGGGAUUGAUCCAGAAGACUGAAGGAAUAAAAACAAGCUAAUAUAUUUCUAUCCCCUCCCUUCCAAGGCCUGUAGUUCUAUUAUGAGGAGGCAGCAGUUGAUGCACAUAAAAACAGAGGCCAUGCAUCUACACAAGGGUGUUGAGGACUGAAUGAGGUUAGGUCAGAAAGAACUCAUGGUGGAGAUAGUGUUGUCAUUGUGGGGACGAAGAUUUCCUUCCACAAUUUAAAUGACACCUGUCAUUUCUGUGAGCAGUUAAGAGACAAUAACUGCAUAGUGUUGGCCGCUGUACCUGUCCUGUGCACUAAUCCCUGAGCAUAUUUAUGAGUCUUUAAAAGUACAUUCUAGUCAACAUGGAAAACAUAUAGUAAGAGACGUGACUCUACCUAGAUUGAGCUCAGUUUUGUAGAGGGCUCUCGAGGAUUUAGAAGUGACAGAGUCCUGGAUUAGGUGACAUUUGAUAAUAGCUGUGCCCCUAACUUCCUCUUACUUCUGGUCAAGCCACUCCAUACUCUGGUGGUAGUUUCCCCAUCUUUAAAAUGAAACAGUUGAAUCAGACAGCUGGUGAAGGGAUGGGUGAGGUCAGAGAUGCAGUUUGCUUCUAAGCAAUUACAAUUGUAUUUCCUUUUUUUUUUUUGACAGAGUCUUGGUCUAUUGCCAGGCUGGAGUGCAGUGGCACAAACUCAGCUCACUGCAACCUCUGCCUCCCAGGUUCAAGGGAUUCUUCCACCUCAGCUUCCCGAGUAGCUGGGAGUAGAGGCGCAUGCCAUCACGCCUGGCUAAUUUUUGUAUUUUUAGUAGAGAUAGUGUUUCACCAUGUUGGCCAGGAUGGUGUUGAUCUCUUGACCUCGUGAUCUGCCUGCCUCGGCUUCCCAAAGUGUGGGGAUUCUAGGCAUGAGCCACCACACCCAGCUUACAGUUGUAUUUCUUGUCAACUACGUUCAGCCUAGCCCUUUGCCAAACUUUGUUGAGGAAAUGGAGCGAGAUCCUUCUCCUUUGCUUUGGUGGUUUUUAAAACUUGGAUGCCCAAAGAAACCAGGAAGGUCCUAUCAGUGAGCAAAGUACAAAAUGCAUAAGCAAGACACAGGGCAGCGUGACGCUGACGGCGGCAAACUAACGGUCCAUCCAUGCCUUAAGGAGGGGCGGGGACUAAGGUGUACCGGCAGGCAUAGCCUUGCGGGGUUCUGCAUCUGCUGGCUCUUAGAAUUUCUGGAGAGAAAUCAGAAAUUCAGGUCUACAUGUCGAAUCUUUCAAUAUUGAAAUGUUUGCUUGGCAGUGUGUAAACAUCAUUUGGGCCAAAGCCCGUCUGUGAACUAGUUAGCCAAAGACAACUUGGGCAUUUGGACCUCAGCUUUAUAGUCUAGAUUGAGGGUUGGUAAACUAUGGCCCACAAGCCAAUCUGAGCCACCUCCUGUUUUUAAAUAAAGUUUAAAUGAAAAUGCGGUCACACCUCUUUGCUUAGGUAUUGCCUGUGGCUACUCUCACACUACAACAGCAGGGUUGAAUCGUUGUGACAGAGACAGUGUGGCCCCGUAUUUAUCCUCUGGGCCUUUAUGGAAGAGGGUUGCUGACCCCUGGUUCAUGUCAAUGAGUCAUAUGGAACAGCAGGAAACAUGCUGAAUUUGGAGCCAAAUGACCAGGGUUUGAAGCAUGGCUCAGGGAACUCUAGCAACAGAGCAGAGAGUGUUUCUCUUUUCUCCUUUUGGAAACUAUCCUGAAGAAACAAAUGGAACAAAUGGAAAUGCAGAUGACAUCUUUCAUGAAACCAUAGCAUCUGGAACCUCAUAUGUGGGGAGGUGCAGUAAAGGUCAAAAAUGGGUGCAGGACAUCUCCACAGGGAAAGAAAAUGCCCAGGGCUCUCAGACAGAGUGAACGAAGCAGAACUUUUCUGGACCUUAUGUGGUGGGCUCAGAAGGCAAGACCUAUAGUUCCUCUCAUGGAGCAACAAGAACAAGUGCACUGGCUGGUGUCUUAGUCCGUUCAUGCUGCUAUAGCAGAAUACCUUAGACUGGGUGACUUGUAAGCAGCAUACUUUCAUCUCUUGCAGUUCUGGAGGCUGGGAAGUCUGACAUCCAGGUGCCACAGAUUUGGUGUUUGCUGAGGACCUGUUUUCUUAUUCAUAGAUGGUGCCUUCUUGCUGUGUGCUCACAUGGCAGAAGGGGCUAUGGAUUUCUCUGGGAUCUUUUUUAUAAGGGUACCAAUCUCACAUGGGUGCUUCACCCCUAAGACCUAAUUACUUCUGAAAGAUCUUACCUCCUAAGACCAUCACACUGGGGGCUAGGAUUUCUAUAUAUGAAUUUUGGGGGGGACACACAUUCAGACCAUAACAGCUGGUGUGAGAGCUGUCCCAGAUCUAGUUUUGCACAGAGUAAAAUAAGGGAAGUCUGGGGUGAACAAGGUCUGACAUGGACAAGACAUAUUUUCAAAAGGCAGUCUGCUAGUGAGGCAAAGUGGAGAAAAGGGCUUUGUUAUGUGCCAGCCUGUGGCAUCUGAUCUUUAACAAGAAGUAAAGGCCAAAAGAAUUGACACUCACCCACAAGCCUGUUUUAUAAGAACUAGAUUAUUCUUUUGGACACUCUUGUGCAUGCAUCUUGUAUAAACAGAUGGUUCAGGAAGAACUCACCACAUUCAGAGAUGAGUAAUAAUCAGUAAGGACCAGUGCAAGCUCUAUCUCAAGAUCCUCCAAAAAUAAAGAAAGUAACAGAUGAAAACUAUGCACAAGAAAACAUUUGCCAUAAAUCAGAUGAAAACAUCAACUGUAUAUAAUGUAUUGAAUUAAGGAGAAAAAUAACUGAGCAAUCACACCUAUAAAACAAGAGUAUAAAGUUGAGAUACAAGAACACAGGAGAAGUGGUAACAUGACAGAAGAGAGUGAAACCUGAUAUGAUGAGCUCCACAAAGUAGAUUGAUUAAGAAAUAAACCCAUCUAAAAAAAUGAAGUCUGCACUUAAAUGAUCAUGACAGGGAACACAGAAAACACAGUAAGAGAUAUGGAAGAUGGGAUUGGAAAAAGCAAGAUAAAUUAAUGUAAAGAGACAGAGAAAAAUGUUAGAAAGCACAUGAUAUACAGGACAGACAAGGGGAUCCAACAUACACAUAAUUGGUAUCCCUGAAGAUGAGAAUGAAAAAAAUAAAAAAAUUUAAGACACAAUUCCAGAACAUUCUAAAAAUAAGAUUUGAAUUUAUGGACUGAAAGGGAAUACAGUGUGUGGCUGAGAAAAUACUGACAUGAUGAGGUCAACAGAAAGACAUAUAAUAGAGAAGGACUAAUUUCCUCAUAAAUCAAGAACCCCUGAAAAAAAUUCAAUAGAAAAAUAGAUAAGGGAUGUGACGAGGAGACGGUUUAUGUAAAAGGAAAUAGAAGUAUCUUUUAAAUACGUGAAAACUAAACCUCACUCAUAAUAAGAAAACUCCAAGUUAAGAUACUGUUUUUUAUCUAUCAUAUAGGCAAGGACUAAAAUAGCUAUUGCCAUGAUGGUGUGGAUAUAAGGGAAACAGGAACUCUCAGAAACUCAGCUACGGAUUUCACUUCUAAUCAUUGUGUGAUGAAAAUACACAAGUAAGAGCUGGGUGCAUUGUCUCAUUCCUGCAGUCCCAGAACUUUGGGAGGUCUAGGUGGGCAGAUCACUUGAGGUGAGGUGUUUGAGACAAGCCUGGCCAACAUCACAAAACCCCAUUUCUACUAAAACUCUAAAAAUUAGCCAGGCAUGGUGGAGUAUGCCUGUAAUUUUAGCUACUCGGGAGGCUGAGGCAUUGCUUGAACCCAGGAGGUGGAGGUUGCAGUGAGCCAAGAUCGUGCCACUGCACUCCAGCCUGGGUGACAGUGUGAGACUCUGUCUUAAAAAUAUAUACAAGUGAGAAACGACAUUUGUCCACAUUUGUCAUAGCAUUGUUGAUAAUGGGGAAGAAUAACUGCAAUGCCCAUCGAAAGGGGACUGUUUACAUAAAGUAUUCCAGAGUGUGACAGCGGACAGCAAUGAAAAGAACGUGACAGCUCAGGGUGCAGUGAUGUAGAAUGAUGUCUAAGAUUCUUUAGGUGAAAAGAGCAAGGUGCAAAACAAUGGAUGAUCCCUGGCAUCAUUUAUGAUUAAAACGUGGUAUCUUGUGAUUGCUUGUGCGAUCACUCCUUCUGGUAGGAUGGUGCACCUGCUUGUUCAUAGUGGUUGCCACUAGACCGGAGAGCUGAGUGAGUGGGAGAAGGGCCUAAGGGAGACUUAUUUUCACUGUUAGCUUUUUUUGUGCCCUUUGCAUUUUAUACUCUUUGCUUAACCAAAGGCUGCACAGCUUAGGUUAUGACCAUAAGCUCUAGAGUCAGCUGUUUGGACACUGACUGGGCUCCCUCUCACUGUUGACGUUGGACAAGUUACUUCACCUCUGUGGGUCUCAGAGGUGUAAGAUGGAUGUAGCACUGGUGCCUAUUUCAUAAGUCAUUGAGGAUGAAUUGAGUCAAUUCAAGUGAAAGAACGAGGACAGAACCUGGCACAAAAUAAAUAUAGUCAAAUUAGCUAUUAUAAUGACCACGUGUAUUGUUGAACCCAGGGUCUGUAUUUGGAGCCUGUAUGCUUCUUGGCCUUACGGGAGAAUGACUUGACCACAGAGCAGCCACAGCCAGGCAGUCAAGGGCACAGGGAGGGGUCCUCAGCCUGGGGCUUCAGGGAAGCUGCCCAGGGGAAGUGAUGCUGCUGGGUCUUACAGAAUGAUGGGAAAACUCAGCGGCACUGUUUUAGGUGGCACCCCUUAGAUCUGCAAAACUCUUGACAUCUCCUAAUACCAAGUAUGGGGUGGGGCUGGAGAGAUGGAAACUCGUGUCACCACUGGAAAUGGAUAUGAGAGCAAACCAUUUGCAAAGUCAUUUGCCAAUAUCCAGCUAUGUCCAAGGCCUGCAGCCCCUCUGUUCUCCUUCUAGGUAAAUAGCAGGGAAGCCUGCAGCUGUGCACAAAGAGAGCCAUUCGGCAACAAAGCUGACCCUCAAACAACAUGGGGUUGGGGGAGCCAACCCUCUGCACAGUCAGAAACCCACAUGUAACUUUUGAGUCCCCAAAAACUUAACUAACAGCCUUCUCCUGAUUGGACUUCCAAUAACAUGAACAGUUGAUAAACACAGUUUGUAUGUUGUAGGUGUUAUAUUCUGUAUCAUAGUAAAGUAAGCUAGAGGAAAGAAAACAGCAUUAAGAAAAUCAUACGGAAGAGAAAAUAUAUUUGCUCGUCGUUAAGUGGAUGGGGACCACUAUAGUUUUCAUGCUUGUUGUCUUCAUGCUGAGUAGGCUGAGGAGGAAGAGGAGGGUUUGGUCUUGCUGCCUCAGGGGUGACAGAGGGGGAAGAAAAUCAUGUAUAAGUAACUUUUGAGUAAUCAAAAGUUAUAUGUGGGUUUUUGAUGCACAGCUCAACUCGUGUUGUUCAAGGGUCAACUGUAUUCUAAAAUCCGAGAGGCUCUGAAACCCUAAAGAUUUCUUCCUGACUUAAUUGGUAGUGAACCCCAACCUAAACUGGUGCGAAACCAAGUCAUCUCUCCCUGUAGUGUGAAGUUUCACAUGUUAUGUACGGAAAUAGAAAUGUGUUUGCAUGUUGUCCCAGAAGCCCUUGGGGGUGACAGAUCUCCGAGGUGACCUGUGCACUAUAUUACUGUGUAGCCCAAAACAUCCUCUAUCCUGAAAUACUGGGCCCAGCCCCUGGGAUUUCGGUAAAGACAGCAGAGCUGCUGUGUGCUCAGGAGCUCCGGGUCACUGAAGGUGCUGAAGUAGAGGGGAGAGGGGGAAACAAGGCAGCAGGCGCCAGGUCCUGACGGUCCCUGGACACCUACUGAGGAUGUGGAGCACAACACUUGCUUCAUCCCUGGGGCUCAGAGAUGUCUACUGAACCAGUCGAGGGGCCUUCAGUCCACCGUGAGCCCCGGAAGGCACAGCUGUGGCCUACUCUGACUUGUCUCUCGGAAAGGUCACUUGGGCAGCGGGUGAGCCUGGCUCAGGAAAGGCAAGGGAGGGUGGGGACGGGUAGGAGGUGGGAGCCAUUCACUGGGCAAAGACUGUAGCCGUGUGGAUGGCGGGGGGACUGAGUAGCUAGAGAGGUAGUCAUCAGAGCCUGCUGCUGCCGUCUGAAGGUCUGGGUUCUCCCAAAUUCAUAUAUUGAAAUUAAGCCUCAAGGUGAUGUGUUAGGAGGUAGGGCCUGUGGGAGGUGAUCAGGUCAUGAAGGUGGAGCCCUCGUGAAUGGGAUUAGUGGCUUUUUAAAGGGGCCCCAGACAGCUCCCUGCCUUCUGGCACGUGAGGGCACAGUGAGAAGAGGGCCCUCUGUGAAGUACGAAGAGGACCUCCCAAGACACUGAGGCUUCCACACCCUGAUCGUGGACUUUCCAGACUCUAGAACAGUGAGAUGCAAGUGUGUGUUGUUAUAAGCCCCCCGAGUCUGUAGUAUCCUGUGGGAGCAGCCCCAAAUGACUCAGUCUACGGCCCAUCCUCCACCCCAAGGUCACACGGCUGGGAAGGGUAUCAAGGGCAGGGUUGGGGUCUUAGAGGUCCAGGGGGUCUUGGCCAGGCUCCCCAGAGGCAGGCCCUGAGGCGUGGGCUAGAGUGUAAGUGGUUUAUCAAGGAAGUGUACCCAGGGGAGUUCCAGGUACAAGUAGGAGGUGCUCAAGCACAGAGGAGCCAGGGAAGGGGCGCUCUGGACCGGAGUCGAUCCCAAACCGUGUCCCUCCAUGGCUUUGGACUCAGCCCCUUAGGGACACGGACUUGGAAGGGCCUGAGUCACAAAGUAACCAGGGUGACUGCUGGCCUAACCUCUGGGCUCUCCAGAUUUCUGGGGAUGAUCGUCUCAGCAUGAGAAGCUUUCUUCAAGGAUGGUCCUGAAAGCCUGGGGCCUGCCUCUCAUUUUGUCCUGGGAACAGGACCCUCACGGUGUUCUGGAGCCCUCACACUAGCUCGUCAGGUUGAUUGGGUAAUUUUCAGUUUGGUGAGCCAGUGGACAUUGUGUUGGUAGUUUGGAAUUGGCCAAGGCAGGUGUAUUUAUACCACGGAAGCUGACAGGGGCUGCCUUUCGGAGCCUCCCUCCCUCCAGGUAACACGGACCUGCACACCCUGGCUGCUUUCACACCUUCGCCCCCUCAGGCGGCUCCUCCUUGCUCAGUUACACCGAUCCUUGGGCUUAGAGGCAGAACCAUCUCAGUCACCCAGAAUCUCCCAAGUGGGGUCCCAGAAGGGGCAGAUGGCAGUGGCCCAGGCUAUGGAAGCCACUGAUAAACAUCCUCCAACAAACGGGAUUGGAGAUCUGCAAAGUUUUUUGGUUUUUUUUUUUUUUUUGAGACAGUCUUGUUCUGCCGCCCAGGCUGUAGUACCGUGGCACAUCUCAGCUCACUGCAACCUCUGCCUCCUGGGUUCAAGCGAUUCUCCUGCCUCAGCCUCCUGUGUAGUCGGGGUUACAAGUGCCUACCACCAUGCCCAGCUAAUUUUUGUGUUUUAAUAGCGAUGGGAUUUCACCAUGUUGGCCAGGCUGGUCUCAAACUCCCGAUCUCAGGUGAUCCACCCACCUUGGCCUCCUAAAGUGCUGGGAUUACAGGCGUGAGCCACUGUGCCCGGCUGGAUCUGCAAAGCUGUUGAAAGGAGGAUUGGGUAGGAUGACGAAGUUGGCCUGAUUCUGCUAAACGAACGUUUCAGCAUGUUCCCUCGUGUGCACGAAGGAGGUGUGCACGCCCCUCUGAGGGCCUUCAGUCUUUCUUCACUGAGACUGUGAAAACCAGUUCUCCCCAGCACUCUGGAGUUGGGGAGCCACAUAGGGAAGUCACUUCUCCCUUUCUGGACCACUCAGAACCCUUUGGCUUUUCACUGAUACCAGGCAGUCAGGUAGAGCAGAGAAGACAUGGAUCUGGAGCCAGGUGUCUGGUACAGGCUGUGUGGCUUCAGGUAACUUGCUUUGCCUCUCUGGGCCUAAGCUUCCUCCUGGAAGAUCAGGAUGCUCAUACCUAGUGUUUCAUGGGGUUGGGUGGGACGGUACAGGGGCAGGUAUGAGUACCAUCCCAUCAAGGAUAUGGUCCUGGCUGCUUUCAUUGAUCUUGGUGCUGAGGAAAAUGUGGCUCAUUCUCCUGGAAGAGGAAAUGGAUUCAUGUGCUCACUUCUUAAACGGGAAUUCAAGGUCCCAAGGUUGAUCGUGGCCCACGUAUGAGGCGGGGACUAGUGAGGCUUCAUGUGGUGCUCUAAGAUUAUAAAACUGGAGCAUUCUGUUGGGAAUCAGACUUCUGCUGAUGUGCUGUGUGACCUCGGGUAAGGUGUGUGACCUCUCUGAGCCUUGUGUUUGGUAGAAGCAGGUCAUCUUCCAACAGGCCUCCUUCUCAGACCCUCUCGGAUGCUGUGGGCAUACAGCUGGCCCCAUUCCACACCUGCCUUCUCCGGAGCUGGCCUGCUCUCGCGCACCUUCCUUCUUGGCUGUGACUGGGCAUUUGUUUCUCCCCUGCCAGCAAACUCCUUUGGACCAAGAAUUGAUGACCUCGGUGUUAGCAUAAAAUAAAGCUUCGAGAAGCUGGUGAAACACUAUGAGACGGGUCAUAAAUUUGGCUUUUCAUCCCUGUCGGAGGUUUCGUAUUAGAGAAAAUGAGAGGUGUGUGGAGCAGCGCAGUCGAUUCUGCUUCACGGGGCGGCGGGGUCUCUCUGGGAUCAUUCUCAGUCCAUCCUGCUGAUGUUCGUAUGGAUACUUGGCUAUGUGUUUUGGGUUUCCUUUACAAUUUUUUCAAUUUCCUUAAUGGUUUUUAUUUUACAAAGUCUUAAAACUACACAAGUUACUGAAGGUUUUGGUCUUCGUUACUGUCUUCCUACCAGGUAUGAGGGCCUGAGAUUCACUGUUAAUUGAUGAUCGAUUAUCUGAUUAGAACCAUACUUUUGCUUUUUAAGGACAUGUGAAAAGUAAGCCUAGAAAUGAGAACGCAAGUGUGGUGUUUCAGUUAGAAAAGGCAGUGUCGCAGUCAGGAAUUAAGGCUGCUGCUUCUCUGUCACACGGUAUACAGCAGGGGGUGGUAGCUAUAGCCCAUGAGCAAAAUCUGGCCCACUGCCUGUCUUUGUAAAUAAAGUUUUAUUGGAACACGCCCACAUCAUUAUCUACACAUCGUCUGUGGAUGCCUUUGUACUCUAAUGGCAGAGUUGCGGAGUUGCCAAAGAGGACAUAUGCCCCACCAAGCCAAAAAUAUUGGCUGUCUGGCCUUUUGCAGAAAGAAUUGACUGCCCCCUGGUAUAAAGGAAAGUUCGUGGCACAAGGUUAGAUCACCUACAGUGGAAGACCGUGCAGGACCCGGAAUCAGGAGGACCUGGGUUUGAGACCCGCACUGCCACUUCCUGGUUGUGACCUGGAGCUGCUUGCCUUUUGCUCUCAGGGUUCUGUUUCUGUCUCUGUCAAAUGCAGCCCAGCGCUGCCCAAUUUGCAUGGCUGUUUUUGGAGACUGAGACACUCAGUGAGGGGCCCAGCCCCUGGUGGGGGUGCUCAGUGACCGUCACUGUUGGCAUUUGCAGUGUGAGGAAUCGUCUGGCUUAUUCGUCAGGCCCUUUUGAGUUCCGUCCAAACAAUUCAACCCUCCAGGCCUGUGAAACGUCUGCUUCCCCAACACGGUGCGAUUUCCAAAGCAGAAAAAUGGAGGAGGCCCUGACCCCUGAUGGGAGAGUCACAGGUGACUCUGUGCAGUUGGUCUCUUGCCUGUCUCCUGCCCCUCUACAAAGAACCACCUGAGCUCCUGCACGGUGCUGUUACCCAGGCCUGAGGGCUGGUGGACCAGGACAGAGUCAGUAGAAAUCAGCUUCCAUCAACUUGGCUGGACCUUGGAGACUUCAGGCCUGCCCUGCCCUGGCUUCUUGGGGUGAGCCUGUCUUGUGGAGUUGCUGUAGCCACCGUCCAUCCAGGCAGGGGUUAGAGGCUCCAGACACAGCCGUGUCGAUGGGAACCUGGAGGCAAUGGAGGCCAUGAGAGCCUCCUCUCCCGAAAGCUCUCCGGCCUCCUUUUUGGAUACUCACCAAAUAGUCUUGAUCUUAAAACUCUGUGCAAAGAAACAGGAUGAACUUGUAGGAUUUGCAUAAGGAGGAAGGUAUGGAUUAUGAUGUGCAGCUCUUGCAGGCGCUCCUCCUGCAGUGCUGGGGGGCCCGCCUCAGAGGCGCAGCUGUGGGCACAGCUUGUGCUUUCAAAUCCUGGCGCCCCAGCUCUUCUGUUCUCUGGCUCGUUCCCUCACUGAUGAAGCAGGGAUAACAGUGCCCACCUCCUCAGGCUGUUAGGGCAUGGCCUGAGAUAGUAAGUGACGCAGGAGGGGGAGCCUCUUUCCCAGAGUCCUGCCUGUGCUGGCGCCUGUGCAGACCUGAUACCCGAAGCUAGACCUCAUGUGUGUUAGAGAACGCCCCUCUGGUUUCACCCUCUCAGACUGGGGGUUCAGUCACUGGCUGCUAAAACCUUCCUAAAGGCAAGGCCUCUCCUCUCCUUCCAGGGGCUCCGUGUCUAUUAGGUGUAUAAACAGAUCCAUCACUGAGCGUAUUGGUGAGUGCUGGCUUAGGAGCAAGGGUGGCUGAAAAUGAGGUGUCUGGAAAGGGCUCACAGGGGAGGAGCCGCUGAGGAGGGGAAGAAAAGGCCUGACUGGGAAGAUGGGGUCGGCUCAUUCCUGGCAGGGGCAGCCUGUGUGAAGCCCAGAGGCACAGUGAGGAGCCUGCCCGUUGUUCGGUCUUGCUGGAGCCAAGGGUGUGAAAUGGGAGCUGAGAGUGUGAUGUUAGCAGCAGUGGCCUCCCGGAAAGGGACCCCAUGUGGGAGCCCCCGGCCUGGCUCCAGGUGGCAGGACCAAGGAGGUGGCUGGUCCCAGGCGGCAGGACCAAGGAGGUGGCUGUUGCGUUAGUUGGAAGGCAUUGUCCUGCCAGGGUUUCUCAGGCCCUCGUUUGAGUAUUAAGAUACUGAACAUUAAACUGUCCUUCAUUCUCCAGCUCAGUUCUUUUAUUCAUUCAACAAACAUUGAGUGCCUACUGUGUGCCAGACACUAUUCUAGACACUGGGCAUACAGCCUGGCCUCCCAGCCCCGUGGGUAUGGAGCAGUGAGCAGGAGGACCUCGAGUGCUCCCCUUCCCCCCCUUGGCACACAUUGGCACGUGGUGUUGGCAGGUCAGAUAUUCUUUUCUUGGGGUUCACCAGCAUCCCCCUUGGAUGUACCCUCUGUGGUACCUACCUGCUUCCACCUCAGUCUCAGGCUGAUGGAAGAGAUUUUCAAAGUUAGCUUAGCUUUUGGAAUUGGCUCCUCCCCGUUUUGCUGGUCAAAGACUCCCCCACAGGACAGCUGCCUCCUUGAGCUCUGUGUGUAAAACUUGGGGAGCAGGACUUGCUGGAGCCAGUGUUUGGCCUGGCCCACACUGUUGGGCCUGGAGAGGCCCGCCUGCCCCUGUGGCUCAGGGCUUGGUGUCUGAAGUGGACCAAGGUGGCUGAAUUUGGCUUCUCCAGGGCCCCGUCCAGCCUGCCUUUCCCGGGCUGCCGUCCCAGCUCUGCUCCAUCAGAGUCGACUCUGCCACCCUUGGUCCUGACACUGAGUGCGUGUCUGAACACCACAGGGAGUGCGGAAUAGAGUGGGCAUAUUGUAGUUCAGAGGUGACGCUUGUAUCUGAAAUACGACCACAAUCGCCACGCAGAUGUCCUUCGUGAUGACACACGUCCCUGCACCGAGGGAGUGGCUGCACCCCAGUCUGGGGCUGUGUCCUUCCUAGUCAGUCUGUUCUGUCCGAAGCCAGGAACGCCUGAGGGCAGGUUUGUCUCCGUCCCAAGUCCUCCCCCGGAGCCGGCACACAGUGGGCAGCAGGAAGGGCUUGUGGAACAAACGCAGGCGGCAAUGGAAGGAUCCCCAGCGUGGGGGUUUUCAGCAGCUGAUCGCGGAGGGGAGCUGGACUGCGAGGCCGUCUCUGCCCACCUCCCUCUCACUGACCAGCUGGCUAGGGUGAUAUGCGCGUGGAGGGUGGCAGGCUGUGGCUGCUGCCUUAUCCAGGUAGCCGCUUCCUGACACCCAAGGCUGGGCAGAGGGACUGAGUUGGUCCCAGGACGGAGCCUGCUGGGAAGGCUGUUAGCCACUGCCUUGCAGGUGCCAUAGCAAUGCCAGGCAGCCUACCUGUUCCUUGGAUUGGAUGGGAGAUCAGAGCCAUGAGGGAAGCAGGACUUUCCCCGGGAGCAGGCUCAUCCCGCCCCUGCCCUGGCCUGAUCUUGAUGGACCUGGAGCUGUGGAGUGCCUCUCCCACAACACACAUGCAGAUGCAUGCACUCACACACAUGCGCUCACACAUGCACACUCGUGCACAUACACAUGUACUCACAUACGUGCACACUGCACUCAUACACAAGCAUGCCGUGCACACAUGUGCACUCACACACAUGCAAACGUGCACAUACACGUGCACUCACGCACACGUGCACACAUGCACUCACACACACGUGCACAUACAUGCACUCACACACAUGGACACACAUGCACUCACAUACACACAUGCACAUGCACUCACACACAUGCACACACACCUCCCACAUGCACAUGCACACACACAUACACAAGUGUACACACACACACACACACACACACACACACACCUAUAGUGCCAAGCUUCCAUACUGGGCCCUGUUCUGUGUGCAUACCAAUUUGCCUGAACAGAGUGUCCCUGUGUUCUAGCACCCGGGAGGAUUCAGAAGCGCCCUGGCUGCACUGCCGUGAUGGGGACGGCACGGACCUGCAUUUCUGAGGGUUCCUGCACGUGAUGAAGGGAAAAUUGCAACUGCCCAGGCAGCCUGUGCAGAAAAGGCAGUGGGUUUCAAGUUUGCUCAUAAACCAAAAGCCUCAGGUUCACAUGUCAUGGAUGAGGCUGAGAGGAGCAUGCAACCUCUGAGCUGUGUGCUCCGGCUGAUUCUGAGCUGGUGCUGGUGUGGACACCCCCGGGCUUCCAGCAGCACUGGAUGACCCGGAUCCUCACAUGACUCAUGAGGAGAGGCUGCCAUGUUCCUGCACUUCAGGUGUUGACUCCACAAUGAGAUGAUUCAGAUCCGACAGGCUGUGCAGGUGCCCCAGACACACAGCCCGCGAGGCUCAGUUAGGCUUGGCUAGCAACUGGGUUCUUAAUGAUGCUGACACUGGACAUGUCCAUGUGCCUGCCCUGGGGCAUGCACAGCCUUGUGGGAGGGGCCGAGAGGUGGGCAGGAAGUUAUGGGGUUGGGGGACAGGGAGCAGUGCGGGCUGUCGUAGGGCCACCACAGAGAAGGCUCCCAGCAUCGCCACUUUCUGUCAUCCUCACGGCAACCCUACAUGAAUGGGAAUAGGAGUAGGUGCCCUGUAAAGACCCCUCUGGGUGCCAGGCACGUGCUGAGCUCUGCCCACACCAUUCAGCCAUUCCUCAUCAUGGUCCUGAAGUAGAGACUCUUGUGUCCCCAGUUUACAGAGGAGGAAAGUGAGUCCUAAAGAGGCUACCUGUUCUCCUGUGGCCAUGCGGCUGGGUGGUGGUGGCACUGGGAUUUGAACCCAGAAAGUCUGGCUGUAUGGUCUUAGCCUUGGCCCACUUUCGCCUCCAAGAAAUAGACUCUGAGCAGUGAGUUGAUGUGUCCUGGGUCUUGCGGGGGCUGAGGGGUCUGGGAAGGGUGAUCUGCCCCUACCCCUGCAUCUCCCAUAUGGUCCCAUCCCUUGCACACGUGGUCCCUCUGUCUCAAUGCCCUUCCCCUCACUUUGUCAAACCCAGCAGCUGUUCAGCAGCCACACCAGAGCCCUCUCUGGAGGAGGCGUUUGCUGGUUUCCCCAGUGAAUGUCAUCCACACUGCCUGGUGAGGUCUGGCUCUCCAGCCUCUCUGUGUAUCCACAGGUCUCCCCAGCUCCUCAGUCCCUUUCGGGGAGGCUCAGGUCAGUCAUGCUGUGGUUACCCCUCAGUGCCCGACAUGGGUCAGCAGUGUCUGGUGGCUUGAAUGGAGGACCACAAAGAGUCCUCUCUCUGCAGAGGGUCCCUAGGUCAUAUCUGCUGAGUUAGCGCCACCUAUAAGAUUUAAAGACCACUGUGCUUUCGUCGGGAGGAACUGUCAGCUCAUGCAGGAUGGCAGGUGGUUUUCCCCAGUGGGGCCUCCAUUACGUCAUUUGAUGAGGGAGAUGACCAGACAGUGGCCCCCUAAAUGCAUGCCUCUAGAGUACUUAGGAGCCUGGCAACUGCUGCUGUGACUUCCUCUCCAGAGCUGGAGCUCCAGGGGCUGAGGUUCCCCCUCCCUGGGCAGCUCCUUCCUCCUGAUCUGGCUUUCCCUAUGAGCAAGAGCCUCCUGGCCGUAAGCUGCUUCCUCACAGCUUCUGCCCUGGCCCUUCCUCCAGCCAGGACACCUGGCAGAAAGCAUGGGCAGGAGGAGGUGCCUUGGCCCCAGGACAGCCAGGUGGGCAGUGAACGGACAAAGUCUGUGCAGGAGGGAACCACUGGAAUCAAAACACACUCUCAAAAUAUUUGAUUCUAACUUAAAACACAUAACACACACCCUUCCAUGGCGCUACUACAUGGCUGGCCCUACCUGCCUUGCUGGCCUCUGCUCACACCACUCCCUCCCUGCUCUUAGCUGGUUCCUGACCUCUAGCUGUCUCCCUCUGACUCCUCCUUACCCUGAGGCUCUCCUCAGCUUAUCAAAAAAAGAUUCCCCUAUUUUCUCUGUUUCAACCCUUUGUUGAUUUCCUCUGAAAUACUGUAUUACAGUGAAUGAUUACUUUUUUGGUCUGUUUACCUGUUUGGGCUUCUCCUCCUCACUGGAAUGCAAGACCUUUAAGGGUGUUUCUUGCUUUCCAAAAUAUUCCCAGCGGGGGCUGAGGAUGGUGGCUCACGCCUGUAAUCCCAGCAUUUUGGGAAGCUGAGGUGGAUGGAUCACUUGAGGUUAGGGGUUCAAGACCAGCCUGGCCAACGUGGUGAAACCCCAUCUCUAUCAAAAACACAAAAAUGAGUUGGGUGUGGUGGCAUGUGCCUAUAGUUCCAGCUACUUGGGAGGCUGAGGUAGGAGAAUCACUUAAACCAGGAGAUGGACGUUGCAGUGAGCUGAGAUCACGCCACUGCCCUCCAGCCUGGGCGACAGAGUGAGACUCCAUCUCCAAACAAACAAACACAAAACUAAAACAAAGAAAACCCCAAAAUAUCCCCAGUGGGUAGCACAGGGCCUGACACACAGUAGGGCUGCAUGAAUAUUUGUUGAAGGAAUGAGACAGUAUUAGGUGAGUGUAUUGCUGCCCCUUCCAGGUAGGGCACAGCCAACUGGGAGCCAGGCUGACAGCUGGAGUGCUGUGGCCCUGGGGUGCGAUGGGAGCCCCUUCUCACUGGGGUGUGCCCUGGAUUAGGGGUGGUGCAUGUAGAGUACAUGGCAUGCUGCUGGCACUUAGCAGGUGCUUUGUCAAGGCUGGUCCCUGUUACCUGAAAACUCUAGUCAAGUAGGCAUGACGUCUAUUGAGGUCCUACUGUGUUACUAUUAAGGGUUGAAUUAUGUCCCCUCCAAAAUUCAUAUGUUGAAGUCCUAACCCCCAGCGCCUCAGGAUGUGACUGUAUUUUGAGACAGGGCUUUCACAGAGGUACAUAAGGUUAAAUUAGGUCAUUAAGGUGGGCCCUGAUCCAAUAUGACUGUGUCCUUAUAAGAAGAGGAGGCUAGGACAGAGACACACAGAGAAGGACAACCGCGUGAAGACUCAGGGAGACGACAGCCAUCCGCAAGCCAGGAGAGAGGCCUCAGAAGAAACCAACCUGCCGACACCUUGAUCCAGCUCCAGAACUGUGAGGAAAUUGAUUUCUUUUGUUUAAGUGGCACCGUCUGGGGCACUUUGUUGUGGCGGUCCUAGAAAUAAAAACAGUUACCGAAUUUAAUUCUCCAAGCUCCAGCAGCAGAGUAUUUCCCCGUACUGAAAAUGAGGGUGCUGAGGCUCAGAGAGGUGAGCUCAUAUGCCCGGGGUCACAGGGCUUGCUGGCGGUGUGGGCACUGACAUUUGAACCCUGGUCCACUAGUCUUCCUCAGGGAUGGUGCAGGCCACACUGUCUGCCUCGGUGUCACUCGAGUGGCGGCCAAGCCCGGAAGCUCCUGUUUCCAUUUCAGUGCCCUUGUUACUGGCUGUUAGAAAGUCAAUAUUUUAUGGAGCCUCAUCAAUCUCCCAAGCCUUGGGUCUCCAUUCCCCUUUUUGGUGUGCGCCUCUUAAGGGUGCUUGAGUAUUUGUGAGAAACCAAGGUUUGACUACUCGAGAGUAAUUAAAAAAAAAGCUGCACCAAAGUUGCCCCAAUGCACCAUCGGGCUGCAGUGCCUCAGGGGCGUGGCUCGGUUUUUGCAACAGGGAGUAGCUCUUCUUGAAGCAUUGUGGGAUUUCUUUCCCAAGUUGACUUCACAUACAUUCUUCUCAGCACAUGUGAGGCAUCUGGUUAUCGGGAGGUGGAGUAAGAUGACAGCCCUAUUAUUGAAGGUCCGCAGACCCGGCCUGCUCACAAAGCCCUUCUUACAUCCUGUUUCAUUCUGUGCUCAUGGUAACUGUGAAGUGGGUGGGCAGGAACUGUGACUUCUCCUGUUCAAGUCUCAGACAGUGUCAGCCCCCCAGGGAGGCUGGCCUCCCAGUGCCAGUGCAGGUGGCUCCCCGUUGGCAGUCCUCCGCCACGUGCCCUGUACUUGUCUCUCUGGACCCAUUGCGCCUGGAGUUGCCUCGCUGUUUUAUCAUCUUGUGGUCCGUCUGCCUAUGAGCUCUUCCAGCCAGGUCUCCGGGCUUCGUUUUCAUGGCAGCCAUGGCUGCCAGCAGAGUGUCUGGUGCAAAGUGGGUGACACUAAGUAUCUGGAGCUGUGGUUCCAGGUAAUCCACAAACUUAGGUGUCACUUGGAAUGCACUGACUUGCAAAAAUGAGGACAAACUGUCGCUCCACCUGGGGCUUGCAGAUUCUGAAAAGGGACUGAAAAACCAGCUUUUUUGGUUGCCCAGGCUAGGGUGCCGUGGUGCGAUCUCGGCUCACUGCAACCUCUGCUUCCCAGGUUCAAGCAAUUCUCUGCCUCAGCCUCUCAAGUAGCCGGGAUUACAGGCGCCCACCACCACCACACCCAGCUAAUUUUUGUAUUUUUAGUAGAGACGAAGUUUCACCAUCUUGGCCAGGCUGGUCUUGAAUUCCUGACCUUGUGAUCUACCCACCUUGGCCUCCCAAAGUGCUGGGCUAACAGGCCUGAGCCACCGCAUCUGGCCAGAAAAAACAGCUUUUUAACAUGGCAGCCUGGGAAGCCUGGAAGUAGGCAGCACAAGCUUGUCUGGGACAGGCCAGGUCAGCUGCUGACCCCUGAGGCCUCAGAGACCGGCCAGUGUACCAUGAUUGACUUCCCUGCCAUGACCCCUUUGUGGCAUUGGCUCAUGGGUCCAGGUGGGAGCAUCUGAUUGGCCCCUGCUGGUCAUGUGCUAACCGGGAAGUUGUGUGUGAUAGGCUGAGCCGAGGUCUCAUACCUGCACAGUUUUAGCGGGGAGCAAGCAGAGAGAAAGGUGUGGCCCCUCCACUUCUGUAGAGCACAGCCUGUGAAGGGUCAUCCCAAAUAGGAAGGAGGACGCACACAAAACACCUCUUCCUCCAUGAAGCCCUCCUCAGGCCCAUCAAGGAGAACCAGCUGCCAUUCUCUUGGCUGCUGCCCCUCUGAGUCCUACAAAGGAGACGUGGCAUAGGGGCAGACUUGGUAAGCAGAUAAUGGGACGUCACUUACCUCAUCCCAUCAGUAACAUCCCGGUGUCAUUCCGUGUCACAUACUUAUCUGUGCUGUCUUCUUCAAGGUCUGGUUUCCCACUGUGUGGCUCCACUGUCUCAUGUUUAACCAGUCCUCUUAUGGGCAUCAGCUUUUCCAUUUUUACUUUGUGGGGACCAAACCCAUCAUUUCCAUCGGCCUGCCCUGCCCUAGGCUAAAAAGCACAUAAGAUGAAGUCUGCAUGACCCUCCGUGUCCCUGCAGAUAGAGCUUAACCAACCAGUGGUUCGCUUUCCAGACCUAAGCAGGUGGGAGCCAGAGGUGGACAUAUAGAGAUGGGGAAGGGGAGCCUCUGGGCUCCCAAGGCAGGGCCAUGGCUGGGGGAGCUGCCUCCAGACUCCUAAGGCAGGAGUGUGGCAGACACUUUGUAGGAAAAGUGCAUCUGUCCCUGGGGCGAGCGGCUUGCACAUGCAGCCCCAAGUCCCAGGGCCUGUGCGAUCCUGGCUGGCUGCUGUUGACAGAAUGGGGCAGGCGUGGGGGAUGCUUUUGAUUCAUGUACAGCGAAUGAUCUUAUUCUCACCUUUAUCACUGGUGGCAUAUUCUGAUGGAAGGAGAUGUUGGCAGUGGGACUUGGCAAGAAACAAGUCAUUUGUCAUGGCUGUGUGCCAGCCGGCCUGUAGCUGCACAGCCUGUCCUUGGGAAGUCUUGCUCACCUGUCACAUGGAGUAGGGGUGUGUGUGUGUGUGUGUGUGUGUGAGAGAGAGAGAGAAAGAGUGAGAGAGAGAUGUACACACAGAGAAGUGUCUGUACCUCUGAGAAUAUGGUUCUCCAGAGGAGGCAGAAAAAUUGGGGGUUCAAACUGUAGUGGGUUUAAAUGUGUCCCGCUCUCAGAAAUAGUGUCCACUCGGAAUCUCAGAAGGUGGCUUUAUUUGAAAAUAGGGGUUUUGCAUAUGUCACUAGUUAAGAUGAGGUCCUAUUGGAUUAGAGUGGGCUUCAAGUCCAGUGACUGGUGUCCUUCUAAGGAGAGAUCACACAGAGACACAGAGAGAAGAAGGCCAUGUGAUGGCAGAGGCAGAGGUUGGGGUGAUUUUUCUAUGCACCAGAAGCCAGGAAGGAGUUAGGGAGUGGCUCCUCCCUCAGAGCUUCCAGAGGGAGCCAGGCCUGCCCACAUCAUGAUGUCACAGUCUUGGCCUCCAGAACCAGGAGAGAGUAAAUUUCAGUUGUUUCCAGCCAUCUGUGUGUGCUCAUGUGUUAGAGCAGCCACAGGACAGGAUCCACAGACCCAUCCCAGGUGCUCACUCACAGCCCCCGGACACUCCUCUUCUGAAAAAUAAGGUGUAGGCCCAGAGCACGUUUGAUUUUCUGUGAAGGGCCUGAUAGUAGAUAUUUUAGGCUUUGCAGGCUGCAUAUUUUUCUUUUCUUUUUUUUUUUUUUUUUUUGAGGCAGAGUUUCACUCUGUCACCCAGCCUGGAGUGCAGUGGCACCAUCUCGGCUCACUGGAACCUCUGCCUCACAGGUUCAAGUGAGUCUCCUGCUUCCACCUCCUGAGUAGCUGGGAUCACAGGCACCUGCCACCAUGCCCGGCUAAUUUUUGUGUUUUUAAUAGAGAGGGGGGGUCUCACCAUGUAGGCCAGGCUGGUCUCGAACUCUCGACCUCAGGUGAUCCACCUGCCUCAGCCUCCCAAAGUGCUGGGAUCUGUUGCAUAUUUUUCUUUGUUUUGUUGUCAUUUGUUUGUUGUUUAUUUCACAAUCCUUUGGAAAUGCAGAAAACACUUUUAGCUCUUGGGCUAGUGUCCCUGAUUUUGCCCUUAGGGAAGCCUCACUGUAUGCUAAGCAGAGUGGGCAUGGUUUCCUCCCCUAUCAAUGGGAAUAAUGAUGGUUUCCCUGAGAGAGGACCCAGGGGAAGCCUGGGGUGGCGCUUGCCUCCUGUUUCUGUGGCCAGGUCUACUGUCUGCUUCACAUUGUAAUCCCCAGAACCAGGCACAGCGCUUAGUACAGGGCAGGCCGAGCUUGGGGAAGAUUUGCUUGAAGUGACCCAAGGCCAGAGGAAGACCUUGAGACCCAAGUCCUCUGUGCUUCCCUCUGUCCUGGCGGUGACUUCCAUGGCACACCAUUGUCCCUUUGGGAGCACAGGAAUCUGGCUGAGUCAUCUCUGAAGUGAGGAGAACCCAGCACAGGGACCAAUGGCUUGGAGAGAGCAGCUCAGCCUACGUGGGGAGGGUUGAGGGUGCCCAGGCCUAGGGUGAUUUGACCCCACCCCACCCUAGCACAGCCAUAGUGCUGGGGCCGAGGUUCACCCGGGAGAUAUGGGAGUUUAGAGAAGAGGAAAAUGAUUUUUUUUUUUGAGAUGGAGUCUAGUUCUGUUGUCCAGGCUGGAGUGCAAUGGUGCGAUCUUAGCUCACUUCAACGUCUGCCUCCCAGGUUCAAGCAGUUCUCUUGCCUUGGCCUCCCAAUAGCUGGGAUUACAGGCGUGCGCCACCACCCCCGGCUAACUUUUUAAAAAUGUUUUUGGUAUAGACAAGGUUUCAUCAUGUUGGCCAGGCUGGUCUCAAACUCCUGACCUCGUGAUCUGCCUGCCUCGGCCUCCCAAAGUCCUGGAUUCCAGGUGUGAGCCACCACACCUGGCCAAAGAGAAUAAUUUCUAAGAGCGAGAGCUGGUGACAAGAGCGUGGAGCUGGAGCUAGACCCAGGCUUGAAUUCCGGCUUUGUGUGAGGCAGCUGUGUGACCCUUGGUGAGUGUGUCAGCCUUGAUGGGCUUUAGCUUCCUCUCUAGGAGGGCACAGCAAGCCCUGCCUGUCAGGGCCGUGCUGAAGAUGGGGUGACCAGAGUAGGAGGAGCUGGGUCCCAGAAGCACCUGGGAACAGCCCCGUGGGUAGGUGGCUCUGAACGGUUGAGACCCACGUCAAGACCACACUCCUUCCAGAGCAGUUCAUGUCCACCUGCCCACAUCCUUCCUGCCUCAGCACGGUCCGUAGGUUUCUAUGAUCACCCAUUUUACAGAUGAGGGAGCAGAUGCCCAAAGAAGCAGCUGACUUCCCAAGGCGGCAAGGCAAGGGGCAGAAUGAGGACCCCAGCCCGGUUCUCCCCACCCCCUCCUUCCCUUCCGGAGCCCCUGCCUGCUGGAGGCACUGUCCCAGCAGUGGAGGGUCAGGCCACACCCUCCAGAGCUGAGGGGAGCCUCUGUCAUCUCAAAUGAUUGGUUGAAUGACAAAAAUCUUCUGGGAUGCUGCUGUUUGAGGCUGGUUGACUUCACUGAGCCUUUCCUGGCGGCUGCUCAGGGUGUCUAGAAUGAGCUGUGGAUAAGGGCCAUCCCUUGAGUGACCGUGUCCCCAAGCAGCUGAAGUGCCCCUCUGCCUGGACGAGCGUGGAUUCUGAGAAAGCCUGCCUGCCCUCACCGGAGGCACCUCUGACUCACUACUGCAAGGCUGUGGCCAUCGACUGGGGUCCCUGGGGGCCCCUGGGAGACUCAGCAGGAGAACAUGUUUAUCCAGAAGCCAAGGCAACACCCAGAGGGAGCUGGUGUGGGUGUGCCAGGCAGGCUGGGCCUGGAAACAUGCCCCAUGGUAUUGCCUUUGGGACUCUGGGAGCCUGAGGCUUGUUCUCAGUGUGCAGGGCAGGGGCUGAGUGCCACCUACAAGGGCCAAACUGAGGUUACGGAGCGGGAGGCAGGACCCCCAGAAAAGCUGGUUUUUCUCUUUGGAAGUUUCCCAAGACUUGGGUCAGCAGACAGUGGAAUGGGGGUAAUGGCCACGCCCUCAAUGUAAGCCCGGGGCAAGUCCCUGUGAAAAUCCCGUGGACAGGGCCUGGCAACCAGAGCAGCAUGGCUACCUGGACCCUUCCCUUUUCUCUUACUCCCUCCCUCUCUAUGGGGUCUGCAAGGGAGUCUGGUUAAUGGCAUCUCCCUCCCUGUCCAGGAGCUGGAUCCAUAAAGCAUAAGCCAAAAGGGGCAGCAAGCGGAGACAGAAGCUUCCUGCUACCACCCAGCUGAGCUGGCUUAGGUGCAGGGGCCUAGUGGGCUUCCCCAGUGCUGCACCAAAGCAGGCAGGGGUGGAGGGAGUAGCGGGGGAGUGGAACAAAGCAGAGUGGCCCCUGCCUCUUCUCCACCAGGAGGAGGGGAUAGGUGGGACUGGACUCUUUCCCACCUCUCUUCCCAAUAUUCCAGAGGCAGUCACUCUCCUUCCCACGCAGGGAGAGAGGUCAGGAGUCUUCCCCUGGGGCACACACAGGGGGCCCAGCAGGCUUGGAAGAAGCGUUUCCCUCCUCCCCUAGUCCUGCCAGAUGGUCCCAGCCCUCCUGCUGGGUUCCCUAAUAGGAAGGAUCUGGACUCAGAGCUGCUGCCUGGUGUCCGUGGUCCCGGGCUGGAGGGCGUGUUGGCAGCUCGAGCCUGGCCAGCGCAUGGAGUGGUGGCAGGAGAGGAUCGGGAGGGGAGCAGGGACGGCAGGAGGAGCCUGUAGCCCAAUGGGUACAGCCAGGGUUCCUGUUUCAUCCAGGGGCCAUAGCUGCUUUCUGCUGGGAAAACUCCCGCUGGAGGGAUGGGGUGGGCAGUGCUGGAGACCCUGGUGGUGAGUGCUGAGCUGUGGCAGAGGUGAGGAUCAGGAGGAGCUGGGAGGUACAUUCGCAGGUCAUGCUGAAGGACUGCCUCUGAGCAUUUUUGUGAGAUGGUGGAAAGAGGCUGUGAGUCAGACCUAGGUUUGAAUGCUGGCUCCUACUCUUGGUAGCAGGGUGACUUCAUAUGACCUUUCUGAACCUCAGUUUUUUCUGUUGUAAAAUGGGGAAAACAGCACAUCACGGGGGUGGUUGUGUACAUUUAAGGAAGCCACCCCAGGGCUGGGCACAUGGGUAGCGGUUGUCAUAUCCUUGUUACCACAGGUGAGGGAGGGAGGAGGAUUGAGUAUCCAGCUUUCUGGCUAGGCUGGCGGGCAAAGGUGGUAGAGGAGUGGGUUGCUUUUGGAAGAUGGUGAGCCUAAUCUUAGACACAUUAUAUUUAUAUUGCUGCUGAGAAAUCCAAAUAGAAAGACCCAGGAUGACAGCAGGGACCGGUAGCAACUUGGGAUAAAAAAUUGGUACUGGGAUCCUUGUCACUGAUCCUGUGGGUAAAGGAGCUGAGGUGCUCUGUGUGGGCCCAGCUGGCAGAAUUGGACUCGUUGGGGUCAAGUCCUAGGAGAGAGGGUUAGAAGAAGAAUGCUUUCGUUAUCAGAGCUAUUAACAGCUGUGCAAUGUGGUAGUGAGCUCCCCAUCAUAGGAGGUAUGUGAGGCUUGGCGGGAGGACUACCCAGGGGUCUGUUGUAGAAGGAUUCAGACACCAGAGAGGGUUGGACUGGAUGACCUUCAGUUCCCCCCUGAGUGACAGCAGCUCUUUAAAGCCCCUCACUGCUUCCCGCUUUUCCAGGAUUCAGGGUUGAAUGUCAGAAAUCUACAGGGAAUGCUGCCGACUGAGGCAUGGUGAUUUAGCCAAGGCUUUCCUGGCGGCUGCUCCGGGUGUCUGGAAUGAGCUGUGGGAGAAGGCCACCCUGUGAGUGGCCCUGCCCCCCUUGCAGCUGAGGUUCCCCUUGGCCUGGAACAGCAUGGGUUCUGAGAAAGCCCGCUUGCCCAUAUUGGAGGCGGUUUUCAAAGUGUAACUGUCACCAUGACCCAGACAUGCCUGAGCCCCAGGCUGGGAGUGCUUUUUUUUCUUUGCUUUAAAAAGCAGAAAUGGUGAAGCAAGCAUAAAUUUGCCUUUGAAAUAAGAGGCUGAACGUCUGCCAAAUGCAAAUGGAUAGAAACGGCCACUGGUCUGACCUUGGGAUCUGCGACUGGUAGUUUCAGAGGGGCUCAGAGUCCCCAGGCCGGCGGCUGUCAUGGUGGAUACGCUGGUGCUGGCUGGUUCGAUCCUUUCGAAAGCUCCCUGAUAGUCACUUCCAGGAGAGAAAGCCCCAGCAGGGCCUCCAGCUUGCAGACGAGGUGCAUUCCCUGGGAGGCAGCAGCUCUGUGAGAGGACCAGCCCUUUUUGUCCACUGUUCUGGCAUUCCAUGGCCUUGCUCUCCCAGUAUCUGCAACUGUUCCUGACACCAUCCCUUCCUGUCAUGCGAGUGAGAUGCUCUUCUGUGGACCCUAGGUUCCUACCCUGGGAGGGCGACCCUGAGUUACAGAGAAAGGGGAGCAGUCUGUUCAGGGAAAUAAGUGCAUGUGGUGAGCAUCUACAGGCGGCCAGGGAUGGAGGGCUUUUCAUCCGGGCUUUCAGAUGAGGCCCUGAAGCUGAGAGGGGUUGGGCAAUCAGUCUGAGGUUGCAAAGCCAGGAAGGAGUGAUGGCGCAGUGAUUCCCAUUGGGCUCACCCCCUGUUCCUCCCUUCACCCAGCCCAGAGCCUUGUGGAUACAUUAGCCCAAAAAGACUUCCGCUUGCUUCCCCCUUGCUUCUUUGAGCCUCAGUUUCCCCAUCCAUAUACCAGGAGGCAUUCAGAUGGGAGGAGCCCCCUGCCCAUCUUGUGGGGCUCUUUGACCUGGUGAAAUGAGAUCUAGAUACUGGCUCUCUGUGUCGACUGUAAAGUGCCUACCAGUUGAUGUUGGUGCCUGUAGCCAUCCUUGAGGCUAAAAUAGACUGCUGCUUGCCUAGUGCUCCUCCCGCCAACCUCCUGCUUUCUGCCUGACUUCCCUCGCCCCACCGAUGAACCCUGGAGCCGCCUGCAAGUGGGAAAGCUCUUUUGUUAGUUUCCAUGGACAGCCCACUGUGCACAUGAUCGGAGGGUUUGCAAGCCCGGCUGAGGUCCAUGGAACUGGUUUUUUCAUACACGUAGAAAGUAACGCAGGGCGCUGCCGAAUAAAUUUGCUGCCUGCCUGGCCGUACCAGCUCAUGCCCGUUCUAGCUCCAGGCAGGAGGAGGAGAAAGGCAUACCAGGCCAUAUUUUGUUUCUUUCAGUAUUGAUUUACCUGUACACACACACACACACACACACACACACACACACACAUACUUGCACACACUCUCACAGACACACACACUCUCACAGACACACACACACACACAGGCACAAUUUAUAUUACCGUCCAGUGCAUAACUGUAGAUUUGGGCCACAUCGAUCUGUGUUUGGCCAUUGACCGGCAACACGGCAGUGGCCAACUGCAGAGCCACCAGGGAGCAUCCUAAUUCUGAUUGAGUGUUAUGAAGAUGCGAUGGGAAGGAGAUGCGGGUGGGCAGGGGCUCUGGGGGAUCAUGAGGGUUGGGAGGGUCCCCUGUCUGGAGCUGGCCCCUGAGUGGGAGCCCCAGCACAGCUCCCUGCUAGCUGUGGCCUCUGGCCAAUCUCCACUUCUUAAGAGUCUCAGUGACUCCAGCAGCCACCAUGAGGAUUGUUGGGGUGUCCAAGAAUGAAAGUGGGGGUCAUCCCUGGCCCUCAGGGGAUAUGUGAGCUUCCCUAGCAUCAUGAAUGGAACAGGUGCGUGCUGUUGUGCAGGCUGAAAGGCGGCAGGGUGUUCCCUCCCGGCAGGGUCGCGUCCUGUUCUGAUGACUGCACCAAGACAAAGAUCCCAGCCUCUGACAUGCGCACCCACCGGCAUCUGCUCAGCAGAUUUAACUACCGGCUGAGAUGGGUUGUGUUGGGGUCACUAACUGUGCUCCAUAAGUGAUGAAAUUGGGCAAGUCCUCACCUCUAGGGGCUCCGACCUUGAGAAGCUUUGACCCUGAGUAGCUGAAGGAACAGGCAGUUCAGCUUCAGCUUAUGGGGCAUGUGUGCACACAGGCCUGAGUGUGAGAGCGUGUCAGUGUGUACCGUGUGACUGUAUAUGCAGGCAAGUGUGCAUGCAUAUGUGUAAGUGCAUGACAAUGUGUGUGAAUACAUGACUAUGUUAGUGUGUACGCACAACUGUGUGUGCACAUGUAUGUCCGAGCACAUUGCCAUGUGUGUGAAUGUGUGGGUGUGAGUGUGUGACUGCAUGACUGUGUGUUAGUGUGUACGCACAACUGUGUGUGCACAUGUAUGUGUGUGUGAAUUGUACGUGUAUUGCCGUGUGUGUGAAUGGGUGUAAGUGUGUGAUUGCAUGACUGUGUGUUAGUGUGUACGCACAACUGUGUGUGCACAUGUAUGUCCGAGCACAUUGCAGUGUGUGUGAAUGUGUGGGUGUGAGAGUGUCUGAUUGCAUGACUGUGUGUUAGUGUGUACGCACAACUGUGUGUGCACAUGUAUGUCCGAGCACAUUGCCGUGUGUGUGAAUGUGUGGGUGUGAGAGUGUCUGAUUGCAUGACUGUGUGUUAGUGUGUACGCACAACUGUGUGUGCACAUGUAUGUCCGAGCACAUUGCCGUGUGUGUGAAUGUGUGGGUGUGAGUGUGUGAUUGCAUGACUGUGUGUUAGUGUGUACGCACAACUGUGUGUGCACAUGUAUGUGUGUGUGAAUUGUACGUGUAUUGCCGUGUGUGUGAAUGUGUGGGUGUAAGUGUGUGAUUGCAUGACUGUGUGUUAGUGUGUACGCACAACUGUGUGUGCACAUGUAUGUGUGUGUGAAUUGUACGUGUAUUGCCGUGUGUGUGAAUGUGUGGGUGUAAGUGUGUGAUUGCAUGACUGUGUGUUAGUGUGUAUGCACAACUGUGUGUGCACAUGUAUGUCCGAGCACAUUGCAGUGUGUGUGAAUGUGUGGGUGUGAGAGUGAUUGCAUGACUGUGUGUUAGUGUGUACGCACAACUGUGUGUGCACAUGUAUGUGUGUGUGAAUUGUACGUGUAUUGCCGUGUGUGUGAAUGGGUGUAAGUGUGUGAUUGCAUGACUGUGUGUUAGUGUGUACGCACAACUGUGUGUGCACAUGUAUGUCCGAGCACAUUGCAGUGUGUGUGAAUGUGUGGGUGUGAGAGUGUCUGAUUGCAUGACUGUGUGUUAGUGUGUACGCACAACUGUGUGUGCACAUGUAUGUCCGAGCACAUUGCCGUGUGUGUGAAUGUGUGGGUGUGAGUGUGUGAUUGCAUGACUGUGUGUUAGUGUGUACGCACAACUGUGUGUGCACAUGUAUGUGUGUGUGAAUUGUACGUGUAUUGCCGUGUGUGUGAAUGUGUGGGUGUAAGUGUGUGAUUGCAUGACUGUGUGUUAGUGUGUAUGCACAACUGUGUGUGCACAUGUAUGUCCGAGCACAUUGCAGUGUGUGUGAAUGUGUGGGUGUGAGAGUGAUUGCAUGACUGUGUGUUAGUGUGUACGCACAACUGUGUGUGCACAUGUAUGUCCGAGCACAUUGCCGUGUGUGUGAAUGUGUGGGUGUGAGUGUGUGAUUGCAUGACUGUGUGUUAGUGUGUAUGCACAACUGUGUGUGUACAUGUAUGUCCGAGCACAUUGCUGUGUGUGUGAAUGUGUGGGUGUGAGAGUGUGUGACUGCAUGACUGUGCAUGUUCACUCUGCUUAUUCUAAGGGGAAAUAGCAGGAAAUCCGUAAGAAAAUGACUGUGUAAGUCUCAUGGGUGGGGGCUUAUGAUACUGGUAGAGUCUGUCUUGGUCUGUUGGUGCUCCCGUAACAAAAAUGCCAUAGAUUGGGUGGUUCACAAACAACAGAAACUUAUUUCCAGCAGCUCUAGAGCCGGGAAGUCCAAGAUGAAGGUGCCAGCAGAUUCGGUGUCUGGUGAAGGUGCUCUUCCUGGUUCAUAGGUGGUGACUUCCUGCGGUGUCCUCACAUGGUGGAAGGGACAAGGGAGCUCUCAUGCACCUUUCUUCUAAGGGCUCCACCUUAGACCCUUAGAAUCCCAUUCAUGCGGGCUCCACCCUCACGACCUCAUCAUCCCCCAAAGGCCCCAUCUCCUAACACCGUCACCUCGGGGUUAGGGUUUCAACAUAGGAAUUUGAGGGGACACAGCCAUUCCAUCUGUGACCAGACUCAGUCAGCCUUCUCCCUGCAGGGCUGCAAAGGAAGACACUGCCAGUUUCCUAAGAAAGGACACAUUGUAAAAUCCACGGCACAAAAGCUCUAGGUUGGGAGCCUUUUCCAGCACUCAGAUCGGGGUUCAAACCCCAACUGCGCCCUUCAGGAGCUGUGUGACUUGGGCAUUCCUUCAUUUUUUAUUCAAGCACACAGCUGGCAUCUAAGCACCUACUGUGUGCCAGGGGCAUCGAAAUAGAGGGGUGGGCUCCUGUGAUAUUAGGCAGGCAGCUUUCUAUUCCAGGGCCUCAUCUUUCUCACUGGUGGAAUGAGGGCAGGAGCCCCUCCCCUGGGGUUACUUUGAGGGGUCAGUAAGGUGAGCGGUUAGUCUGUCGCACAGCCCCUGAACGUUGUUUACAAGUCAGUCCUCUGUCCCAUCCCUUCAGUUUCCUCUUCCCUGGUUUUGACUGACCAAUAGUCAUCACCU